AGAGCAGCAAGUUACUAAAAAGCAAAAAUAGAGCAGUUCGUUAAGUACAUAACUUUAAUUUUCUAAAUUCUUUAAUCAACUGCACAAUAAUCUACCAAAUUCUCAUUUACAGCCAAAUUGUAAAUCACAUAUUAAAUUUUAAAAGGAACAAAUAAAUGGCAAAACCCAAAAUUUCAUUUACAGCCACACCGGUCAAAAUUCACACAAAAGAAGAAUAAAUUAAAUAGAACCAUCAAUUACACAUAACGAAAAUCAACACACGAACUUAUCGAGAUGGAGGAAGCAGCUGGAGAAGACGAAGUGGGUUUCUGGAUUUUGGCUGAAAUCUGCUCCUCAGAUGGAGAAGACGAAGUGGGUUUCUGGGUUUUGGCUGAAAUCUGCUCCUCAGAUGGAGAAGACGAAGUGGGGGGAGCUUCUUCAAGCUGUAGAAAGCUGUGCAGCUGUGACUUCAACGAAAUAGAGCUGUGGCUGUGCAAAGCUAUGGAGGAGGAGAUAGAUGAAAUCGAGUACGCAUCCUAGGUUUUGAAGGAGCAUGAUUUUUUUUCCUUAUUUUAACUGGUUAACCAAAACAACCAGUUUCAAUUGUUUUAAAAAAAAAAAGCCCAUUUUAAAAAAAAAAGCCCACGUGACUAGCAUGUGAUCGGCUGUACUGGUACAGCCGAUGCACCACAGAUGAACUCAUGUUUUUAUGCAAGCCAUUGGGUAUGAAACUUAAGAUCCCAUUCUAAUAUGACCAUCUCAUGAUAACAAGAAUUCUAUAAGGGCCUUAAUAGGGAUGGCAACGGGCCGGGUAGGUACCGAACAUGACAAUACCAUUCCCGUCCCCACUUCCCAUCCCCAUCCUUGUCACCAUCUCCAUUCCCAAUAAAAAAUUCAGGGAUUCCCAGACCCUGUCGGGAGAGUAUCUCUCAAACCCGACCCGAAUUCCCAAUUUUUUUAAUAUAAAAUAUUGAUCAUACAUUAAAUUAUCAUUCAACGCAUUCAAUUUAACGAUAAAAUUGAUCUCAACUACUGAAUUUAGGGGGGUGUAUUCAAUUGGGAUUUUAAAAGAUUAUUUUGAGAUAAAUAAGUCAUGUAGUAUUCAAUUAAGACUUUGAAAUAAUCUAAACAAGUCUUGUGGUAUUCCAUUAAGAUUAUUAGGAUUUUUAAAUGAGGGUGUCGAAAUCCAGUGGUAUUCAAAUAGGUAAUAAACAGUAGGAAAAUCCUAAAAAUGCCCCAAAAAUUACUCUGGUGUCCUUGUGAUGUUAUAAAACUAGGGGAACCUAUAAAUCAUCCGUUUCGUAAUGAAAAAUUCUAAAUUAUUUUACAUAACUCACUUUCCUCUUAACCCUAAGUAUAUAUGUUUGUUAACUUAAACUUCAAUAACCUACUUCAACAAGCAUCUCCCGUUAAUGUUCGGAAUAAUUUUUUAAAAUGCGUAACAAUGAAUCGGAGAAUUCAGCAAGGGAGAUGGAGUGUCAAUGAGUUCGUAGCAAUUUUCGGAUCAUUUUUCUAAUUUAGUUAUGAAUUUUCUAAGGAAAAGUAAUAAAAUAAUAAUUUAGGGUAAAAGGCGAGGAUGUGGCCAUGUUGAUUGACGUACACUUGUGCAAGUGGUGAAAGGUGACCGGCUAAGAUCGCGCCAGGUGUCCUCUUGCAAUUAUUUUGGCUUUUUUAGUGCAAAAAUCUUUGAAAAUAGGUAAUAAAUAGUAGGAAAAUCCUAAAAAUGCCCCGAAAAUUACUCCGACCUCCUUGUGACGUUAUAAAACUACGGGAACCUAUAAAUCAUCCGUUUCGCAAUGAAAAAAUCCAAAUUAUUUUUACAUAACUCACUUUCCUCUUAACCCUAAUUCACUUUAACAAGUAUAUUUCCUUAAUAUUCGUUAUAUAAUUUGUAAUAAUACAAGAAUUAGUUUCCCUAUAUAAAAUAAUAUGUUUUGUUAUAAUAAUGUACAUAUAUAAUAAUUGCACAUGCUUUGAAGCCAUCAUUGCAACUACGCCUAGAGCUUUGAACACGUCAGAAGUAUUCAAUAAGUUGUCCACAUGCAACUGCACCUAGAGUUUUUAACACGUCAGAGGUAUUCAAUAAGUUGUCCACAUGCAACUGCACCUAGAGUUUUUAACACGUCAGAGGUAUUCAAUAAGUUGUCCAUAUGACGCCGCAUUGGGAAUCAGUAAUAUAUUUUCUAUCAUGUCCAAUCACAUAAAAUAAUGUCAUACUUUUUCUGAAAAACCUCACACAAGUGAAGCAAUUUUAAAAUAUUAGUGAAUAUUUGUCCUAGUCUAUAUGAGUGAUUAUAUAUUCAGUCUGCAUUUUUUUCACAGUAUAUGUUAAUUUUGAGAGGGAUUCCACAAACAUAUAAUAUAAAGAAAGAAAGAAAUAGUAGGAGAUGAACCAGUACAAAAAACAAUAUAUAAAUGGUACAUAAUAAUUCCAUAACCUUGUCACAAACGCACUCACAAAUGCUUUUCCAUAAACCUUGUCCUAACAUAUAAUAAAUAAAGGCAACAUUGCAUAUGAUGCAACCAUGUCCAAAUCUGAUACGUGAUAAAAAAAAAAUGGACAUGGCAGCAACAUAUGACUGAAGUAGAUGGGCUCUUUGCAUCUUGUGUUAUCGUAAUUAAAGACAUCAAAAUAUUAAGGUUGAAAUCUUCCAUAGUAGUAAGCAUCAAAAUAGGUUUGAAGCAGAGUUCAACGAAAAUUCCAAUUCCACUUAUUUGCCUCUGCUCAAACAUGAGAACCAAAAUGGUUACUUCCUUUACUGAGUAUAUUUGUUAACGUCAGAAACGGUAAUAGAUGACCAAUCAAACCCGGGUACGACGAGUUUUGCAUAGGAUCAGAAGUAGUCGAAUCCAGCUUGCAUCACACUCUUCUUUGACUCCACUGCAUUAGAUGUGUUCUUGCAUAUUUGAACAGCUACACUCCAAAGUUGUUUGUGUCUACGCUUCAUGCGCUGCAACUUCGCCCUAUCCAGAUUGGCCUGCCUUUUGUCAUCUUCAAUUUGGCCUUCAACAAAUUCCAAACGUGCCCUUGCCAUUUGGAUUUCAUCACCAAGUUGAAGAUGCCUCUCCUUCCAAAAAGCAAGAACUCUUUCAGACUCAAAACUUCCAACAAAAUGGUCAUUCUAUCUAGGAAUGUGACAUUGCUUGUCUGGUGACUCACUUGCAUUUCGAAGGCGGUCUUUGUUUGGAGGGGUGUUUAUUAUGCUCACAUCAAACUUGGUUAGUAAAUCCAUUCUAUGAGGGGAAUGAGUUUCUAUGGAGGAGAGAGUUUCAGUAGAUGGAGACAGAUUCGGUGGAGGAGUGAGUUUUGUGUAGAAGGAGAAUUUCUAUGAAAGGGGUGAUAGUAAUACCAAUAAAAGGGUUCCCGCCAAAAAAUAUUUGGUUGACAAUGUAUAAAUUAAUUUUUGGUCUGAUACAAUCUAAGUUUAAUCCUAACUAGUUUGGUUGAGUUCACUAACUAGAUGUCACUUCCAUUGAGUUUCUUUCAACCACUAUCAGUGGUGUAAGGAGAGUGUGAGGUCGACAUUCUUGAAAAGCAAAACCUGACACCUCUUUUUUUAAAAAUUGAAAAAAAGUACAUAUGUUGACUACACACAAGCUUUGGUAUGUUGGUCUAUAAACUUAUGUUCCCUUUCUCAAACGAAAUUGCAUAUGCAAUCCUCAUCCUCCCAAAACAAAGAGGAUUAUUCAAGCAUGUCAACCUCUUCAGGCGCCAACAACACAAUCGAAGAUGACAAAUUGGAGUCGCAGGUUCUAUUUCCACAUUGUACCCACCGACCCCUUCCUUUUUCAACAUCAUUUGGGAGUGAGAGGGACUCCGAUGAUUCAUUAGAGGCAAUACAUGCAGUCAGUGGCAAGCUGGAUUUUAAUUCCAGACUGAUCAAUUCAUGGCACGAGAAAUGUGUUGAAGACGAGGCAAUUUUGGCUGAUCUUAACAUUAGAGUGAACAAAGCGUUCUCCCAAAAGAACAAGUACUUGAAGCUGAGUCAUAAAAGGAAGCUGAAAGCUGAGGAGUUGGAUACAGUAAUGAAUGAUGAAAUGAAAGGUUGUUUGAUGAACCAUAUGCGAUGCGAAGAGCACCAUAGUGAACUGGAGUUGGCAUUCAACAAAGGAUUCGACAAAUUCCGAACAUUUGCGGCAACUACUCAUACAAGUUAUGAUUGGAACUAUGUGUCCCCUGAUGCUGUGAGAGAGAUACUAGACAAUGGUGGUGACAUGAAUGAGCAUAAGCACGUCAAAGCCGCUCGAAAGAAGCCGACCGAUACGACUAAGUGAUUGCGGCUACCGCUGUUCAGUUGGUGAGGGUGAUCGUGGUAUUGCACAAAUUAGAAGUAUAUUCCCUUAAUGUCAUUAUCUAAUUUAAAAUAACACAAAUAUCAGUUUCAUUUGCUUCAUAUAUAAUUAUUGGGACUAUGUAUUGCAAGUCAUCAUGUGUUCCUUCAGUUGGUUGAGGGUGAUCGUGGUAAAAGUCAUUGCUUCUUCACAUAACUCAAAAUUUCAUACUUUAUCAAAUGUCUAUGAAAAUUUCUAAAUAGGGAGAAGACGUAAAAUUAACAUGUGUCCAAAUUUCAUGCAAGAAUGAAACCAAGCAAAUUUUCAUUUCAAUUACCAGUGGACAUAGUAAGAGCUCAUCGGUGGACAUGAACAAAAAAACAAUAAUAAUCAAAAACUGAAUCUAGAAAACUUCACCUAAUCAUUAAUCAUCAUAACAACCAGAUUUCGUCUAAUAGAAACAUAAAUCAUUCAGUUGGUCCGUGCAUCCUGUCAAAUUCGUCGAAUAAUGGGUCACUACGAUCUAUUGGAAUUAAUUCGUCAUUGUUCGAUGGUGAUGUCUUGCAUAAACAUCAAACACAAGCACAUAAAACAUUUACCUAUUCAAAUUUUAGAUGUUAUUAUAAAUAGUGUUAGCAUCUUACAAUGUGUUCAAAUUUCUUGGGCAUUGUCUUCUAUCAUGACCAAUGUGUCCACACUCCCGACAAUGUCUAAUCCCUCGUUUCAUUGCCUUUUCCUUUGCUCCCGUUACUCCUUUCGACCUUCCUUUGCACCUCACUCUCUUAGGGUCUUUCAUAUAUUGUGUUUGAGGGCUGGACCCUCCAACUUCGUUAUUACUUGGUCCAUCCUUCAACAACUUCAACUUCACCUGCAAACUUUUUAGAGUCUCUGACAGUAGCUCACAUCCUUCUUCACUCAUUAAUGCAUCCUCAACCACAUCUGAAGCAAGUCGAGACAUUGUACUCUACUUUAUUAAAAGACCAGGAUCUGUAGAGUCUUUAAUUUCGUUGCCAUUUGCAUCUGACACCAAUCCAGAUUUCACAGUUUUCUUCCACCUCUUCAAAAUAUUUCCAAGAACAGCCAAUGAGAAAUAAUGUUACAGACCAAAAGCAAACAAGGCAAAGUUAAACCACCCUUCUUAAGACACAAAGCACCAGACAAUUUCUAUUUAUCGAAUCAGCUCACAGAAAAUGGUCGAUGUGUAUCACUUCAGGUCUCUCUUUGUCUAGAUCAAUUCAUUAAUUUGCCAUUGCACUUCUGAUAUCUAAGAAAAUCCAUUGGCUCAAAAGACACCAUCAGCUUCAACUCUGAAAUUAUGCAUGGUUGACUACACAAGUUGUUUUGACCUCCAAACAUGGAAAAAUUUCUCAAGCCUGCAAGAAUGGAAUGAUAAACAAACUCUGCGAAAAAUAAAAUAAAAUACUACAUGUAAAAAAAAAACAAAAAGAUAAUUAAACUGAACACAAUAACUUACAGCAACAUUUAGUAAUCUAAUUCAUGGAUACAAAGAAAACAUUGACUUGAUUUGCUUUCUCUUAUGAGCUUUAGUAUUAUUAAACUGCAGCAUCCUAUCAAGUGCCUACAAGAAUCAGAAGAUAUUUUCUGAAACCCCAUAUUUUUAGAAUAAAUAAAAAGAAAACAACAUCAGCAAAAUUGUUAAAACAUUAGUCAAAUUGUUGAGAAUAUAAAAUCUCACAUCCACUAUUCUAAGCCUUGCAUUUCAAUAUAUAAAAUUAUGAACCUCUUCAGCCAUUAUCACCAUAGUACUAGACUUCACUGACAAAUAAUGCAUAACAAGUGGAUGUCACAAUAAGAGGAUGUCUCAUCAAAUAGAACUUUGUAGCUAAAGGAAUAAUUAAUUACAUGAUACAUAUGCAAUAAACAAAGGAGCUGGAAAUUAAAUGAAACCAGGAUGGGCAAAUCUAUUUCUUCAAUCACAGAAGCAUUUAAUGGGUAAAUUGAACAAACAACAUAUAGGUUCAUGGGCUGAGGUAGAAUUUCUUCAUUCAUCGUUAGCCACCUUAGUCCUUAAGAAGAAGAAAUACAUUAAUCCCUAACCCUUCUCUUCCUCAAAUUUCUUUCCUUCCAUGCCUUGAAUUCUAUCCCUAUUCAUGCACCCAUGACAUGAUAAGUCACAGAGCAAUAUCAACAAGCUACAAAAACAAGUCUCCUCAUUACCCAUUCGAACCAUGCUCAAAUGAUACCCAAAAACAGAGUGAUGUUAAAACAAUUCCUUCUGAGCCACAAAACAUGACGAAGAAGUAACCAGGCUAGAUCACGGGCAAAAAGUACUUCAUAAUGAGAGCAGCAGAGUCACUGCUCUGUCGAAGAACUCUGUACUAGAAAACCAUCAUAUGAUGACAGUCAAAAUGAAGAUUUGCAAGGUUUGUCAUGUCAUGCAAUAAUACCAGUCCAUCGAACUCAUCUACCUAGUGAAUAAAAAAUAUAUACAUUCCAACCUUAAAUAUGAAUGGAAUUGAUUUCGUUUAGAUUUGAAACUCUGCACCAUCUUACAAAGUAAACAACCUAUAUUUUCACAUAAGAGGACUAGUAAACAUCUAAUAAAAUUUAAGACCCUGUUGCACCACAUAUGCACUUGUUUAUUUGAAUUGAACCUAGAAAGAAACCUCACCCAUAAUUUUUUAGCAACACCUAUAAUACCCAAUUAACACACAAAUCAAUUUGUCGAAGAAAAUCAUGAAGAAAGUGCACACAUAGCCCAAUUGUAUAGUGUCAUCUGCUCUGUACUCCUUUUCAUCAAUUCAUGAUUUUGUGCAAGGAAAUGCAAAGAAGUAAGAACCCCUUGAACAUCAUCCAUGGCCCGCAUUUGAAGUUUUUUAUGCCAUUUGAAAUACCCAUUUAUUUACUUUAACACUAACCAAAAUCAUAGAUAUGAAACCAAUCUCAAAACCAUAUCAGAUGACCCAAAACAAAAACCCAUCACCCAAUCCUUAGCUAGCAGGAAUAAAAUACCCAUUUAUUUACUUUAACACUAACCAAAAUCAUAGAUAUGAACCAAUCUCAAAACUAUAUCAAAUGACCCAAAAUAAAAACCCUUCACCCAAUCCUUACCUAAAAUCACAAUCACAAUAAAGAAAAACAAAUUAGGGUAAUCUGAAGCCCAGAUCAGAUAUCUCAUCAAUUCCAAACCCUAGACUCUAUAGAAACUCCUAAACCAAUUUCAUACAAACCCAUAAACCAUAAACCAAUUUCAGAGCAACCUCUAAACCCUAAAACCCUAAACCAAUUUGGAAGAAACCCCUAAACCAAUUUCAUACAAAUCCAUACACCAUAAACCAAAUUCACAAAAACCCCAAAUUUCUAAGAAAAGGAAGAUGAACAGUAGCUCGUGGCUGUGAACCGUGGAGGAAGCUUGGAUGGCUGAGGGAGGAAGAUGACUGCGUCGGAGAGAGAGAGAGAGUUACACGACAGAGAGAGCUAAGCGACAGAGAGAGACGGGCUGAAGAGAGAGACAGAGCCAAGAGAGUUGAGAGAGAACCCAAUUUCUGAAAAAGUUAUAUGGGUGCAAUCAGUUUACAAUAAAGAUGUAUUUAUAGGUGGUAGUUUUAAAAAUUUUGGGGAGGGAUGGUAUUUUGAGCUAUUUCCCUUAAAACUAUACAGAAAGGUGGACAAGUAAUCCACCAAAAAGGAAAACAAGCUUAGACUACUUAGUUCUAUGGAAAAAUUGCACAACCUUCUUUGUCUCCACUCAAUGCAAAAGCAAUAUCAGGCCUUGUACAAACUUGUGCAUGCACCAAACUACCAACUAUAAAAGCAUAAGGCUUAGCUUUCAUCUAUUCCUUCUCUUGAUCGGCAAUGCUCCUUGCUAGGCCUAUCACCUUUUGAAAUAGCAACACUUUCACCAUGGUAAUUCUCCAUACCAAAACGUUUAAGUAUCUUCUCAAUGUAACCCUUUUGAGACAAUAAAACUGAACCUUUACUCCUGUCUUGGCUAAUUUCAAUACCCAAAACAUAUGAUGGCUCUCACUCGUCUUUCAUAUCAAAAUCUAAUAGUAGUGGACUGAAUCUUUGAUCAUCAUCGUCGUCAUCAGAUGUUUUAAUUUAAUUAAUUGCUUCCUGGCUUUGCUUGCGUGCUCUUUAAUUGAAAUUGAAAAAUCUUGGGGAAUUAAUUAUUAAUUAUAUGGGAUGUUUAUUGAGUAUUUGGUGAAAGUUUGGACUUUCUUUAAUAUUAAUCUUACUAGUAUAAUUGCUUGCUCCAUUUUAUGCCUCUCUUAGAACCCAAGACUCCUCUCACCUUCAUGUCUCACAUCAGAAUUCAUCAAAGGAAUACGGGCUGCAACCUUACCUGCUAAACAAAAGUAAUUUAAUCAUCCAUACUCACAUAGUAUACAGUGUAGUUCUGGAUCAAACAUCUUGUGUUCUGAAUAUAAAUAUGUGUGUGUGUGUGUAUAUAUAGAAAAUUGCAACGGCAGAAGGGUGGGAGAAUCUGAUAAUGGUUGCUACUUUAGAUGCCAUGCAUGGUAACUGUAAAUGUACUAGAAAAGGAGAUAAUAAAAGGUUUUAUUAUUUCAAUCAUGGAGUAGGUUGAUAUUACUUGCAUAUUUCUGAGGGUUCUGCUAAACAACAUUGACCUUUUUCCAAUAUAAUAUAAGAUCUAUUUGUGCUGACAUUUCAAUCAAAUAAUAUAGGGAUUUGACUAUUGGCUGAAGCAGAAAGUACUUUGGCUAUGAGUAUGAUGCAAGAUUGUUUAGUUAUUUUGUAUAAUUUACAGGUCAUGAUGGAAUAUUUAAAGAAUCCUCUGUUUGAGAAUCUCAUAAAGCAUUCACGAUUCAUUGCAGACACUUAGUUAUCAGGGCGUCCAAGUUCUUUGAUGCCUAGAAUUUGUGCUUCAAUUAUAAGUUGGCUAUUGGGAAUUUCCAGUCAGGUUAGCUUUUAGGCGUAUUUCGUGAUGCAAUUCCCCAUCCCUAUGAUGGAGUAGGACAUCUAAGGGUGGACACGAUCCGGAUUUGAUCAGUUUUACCUCAAAAUUACGGUUGAACCAAUUACAAUAUAACGGUUUAAUUCGGUUUGGUUUUAACAAAAGUCAAGGAGAAAACCGAACCAAAACAAACCAAAUCAAACCAAACCAAACCAAACCAAUUAAGACAAUUUGGUUUAGUUUGGGCCUAAGCCAAUUCUCUUUCUUUUUGCAUUUUAAAAAAAAUAUAUAUUUUUAGCCUAAUUACAACUAACAAAUUCACAACUUGAACCAUAAUUAAAUCAUUUCCUGAAUCACGAAACGAAACCAAAUCGUAUUGGUUUAAUUGGUGUGAUUGAUUUGGCUGGAUUGAUGCCCACUACUAAGGACAUUCAGUGCACAGCAAGGUAUUCUGUCUUUUUAGAUGAUUACAUCUAAUUUAUUGGUGUGGUAUAAAGAAAUGUUGCUUUGUAGAGGUCAUCUAAUAAUAUUGGUGCUUUAUGAUCUGGUUUGGUUGCUUUGGAUUCUAUAGAACAUUCAAAUAUGUGUGAAAUUUUUUUAUUUUAUUUAAUGAAUCAUCUUGCAGAUGCAUGUGUAUGUUUCUAUUCUUUCAAGCAGUAGUCAUUAGUAAUUACACCAGGAACCAAUAAAGACAACAAGAACAAGUUGUUCAUUUUUCCUUCCCUUGAGUGCGAGGGCGAAGAGAAAGCUGUGGGGUCUGUGAUCACAAAUUAGACAAUGAACUAUUGAAGUAUUUAUAUGAAGGGUAACGUAGUACUUUCAGGUUGGAAAAUGAGUAUUUGUUGUUAAAUUUUAUAAAGUGAGUAUAUUUGAUUAAGGUUUAUCUUUAAUGAUUAUAUCCCAAAUAAAAAGUAAAACUGUCCCAAUCAAAUAUUCGAAUUCCACAAAACAGCAAAGUUUCAUUCUAUUAUAUAUCACCCUCAAAAUCAGAGAAGUGACUUAAAUCACUUUAAUUUCUAUUUACCUUAUCAGUUUUGCUUUUCUUUACUGUGAUUUAAUUACUGAACAAUCUGUGGUAGAAAGUAAGGCAGAAUAAGAGUAUGAUAGGGUUGGUUGGUGAUGAAAUAGCAAUUAAUAAUUAAUGGUGUAAAAUUUAAAAUAGAUUUUCGCGUGUAAUUGUUUAUCAAUAGUGGUUGGAUUAGGUCCUUCCUUAAUAAUUCUUAGGUCUUUUAAUUAUGAUUUUCCUAUGUAAUUAUGAAAAGACUAAAAUGGCGCCCCACAAGAUGUGUCACGCCAGUAGGAGAAUCAAUUGCAUGUAAAUUUGUUUCUAACUUUCAUGUGUAAAUUAGAUGAAGGUUUUAGAUACUGAUACUUUUCACAAUAAAAAAACAAAACAAACGGGAUUGAUCAAAUAUCUCUAUUUCAAACUUUCAUGUGUAAAUUUUUAUUUUUAUUUUUUCCCCUUCAAGGGUAAACACAAUUUUGUCAAUUUGAGGGGAAAAUGAAAAUGAAAAAUUAAAAAAAUCCACUAGCUGCUUCCCAUGCCAUCAAGGGGCCAAGUUUCACAUGUGGCUUCCCAUCCAACACUAGCUUGUUUUAUUGAUAAAGAAGAGAACCAUUGCCCCCAAUGCAAUUUCCCAUCAAAGGGUCAAGUUUCACGUGCUGCUACUGUUGCGUUUUACAGUGGCGCUAGCAUUCCUCCACUCCCAAGUUACUUAUAUAAUGCUUUUGGAUACAAAAAAAGGAACAAACAAAAUAAUGCCGGGACAGGUCAGCAAAGCCUGUUUCUAUCAAACAUGUCUGGGAAACAUUUAUCCAUUUCUGGUUCUGCUCUCCGAUGUCCUGCAUCAUCAAAAAUGGCAAAGAGAUUGACAUCAUCUUCCUUCACAUUUUACUCACAUCCUAAAUUAACUACAUAUUUCAUUUGCAUGAUCAUCUAAACACAUUUUACAUGGCUAUUCUCCGUUCUUUAAAAUUGAUCCGCCUCUUAAAAAAGGCUUGGAGCACCCUUAAACAAUCCAACGCUAGGAGAAACAAAAAUCAAAAGAAUAGAGCAACAGCAAGUUUACCAAGUGUACUCUCCCAAAUUCAAAAGCUUGAUACAAUCUAUGUCGAAACCGCGGCAGAUAUGGAGGUGGUGAAAAAACUUAUCAAUGCCCAGGAACCGUGGAAGGGCACCCACAUUAUUGUGAAGACCAAACAAGAUGCCACGACUGCAACUAUUAAACGAAAGGCCAAAGAGCUUAAUUUAAAAGUCAUUGAAAGUGACGAUUGGAAAGACGCAAAGUAAGUCUUUUUUUUGUGUGAGUAUUUAUAAUUUUCUUAUUUCAAAAAAUUAUUUCUUAUUUCAAAAAACCAUAAAACAAAAUAAUAAUCAAAAUUCUUUAAAGUUUUCAACAUAAUACCUCUUUUCCGAAACCGCCCAUUCCAAACUGCUUGUGACUCCACAGCCAUAAGUAACAGUUUAUUUGUAUGAACGGAAGUUGGAGAUUCUUGGUUGCAUACAUAAGAGCAAAUCCCUUGUAAAUAAAUAACAUAAUCACUCCUUCAAAUAAGAUGAUUCUCUCUCGAAUCUCUUCUAACUCACUGAAAUUGAUACUCAGGAAACAAAUGUGAUAUCAAUACUUUUCUCUUCUUUUUGGUAAUAAAUGUUGCGAUCAAAGUAUGCAAAAAUUAAAGAAAAACGCAUUGCAAUAUUUAACUUGAAUGAAUUUGUUACCUGAAUUUUGGGUUUUGUUUGGAGUUUAGCAGCUUGAGGUGCGAUUUUCUUUCUAGUUUUAUGGCUAAACAGAUCACCAAAGAGCUAGAGAGUUCUAAGUUGAUGAUGAAAACUGAUCGAUAUUGUGAAUAUGGCUUUCUCUUCUAAGAGUUCUAAGUUUUAACAUGCUGCAUCUCUGCAUCUCUGCAUCUCUGCACACCUAGUUGCCUAGCGGCAGCUGCAUGCCAUCUCUUCUUUUUAGCUUUAACUAAAAUAUCGCGCAGCGUGGGAAUCUAAGAAGAGCCGGUUCCCUAGGCAUGGUUGAUAGACAGGCUUUGCUGACCCUUCCCACUAUUAUUUUGUUAUUUAUUUAUUUAUCCAAAAGCAUUGUAAAAAGUAGAUUGGGAGUAGUUUUUUUUUAAUAAAUCCAAAUGCAUUAUAAAAAGUAGAUUGUGCAACAUUCUAGAGGAGAUUUGAAUGCUAACUAGUAGAUUCACAACACACAUUUAAUGUGGCUGAUAAAGUGUGAAAAAAUUGAGAAGGGAUUUGAAAAACCCACAUUUAAAUUACCAACAACGUUUUUACACAUACCUCACCUGAAAGAAAAAUAAAUUUACACAGGAAAGUUUGAUUUACCAAUAACUUAGAAGCCGGUUCGGGCUUUUUUUAAAAAAAUAAUUGAAAACUUGUUCUUUUCAUUGCAUAAAGAGAUCAUACAGAGAGAAAGCAAAUACAAUACAAUAAAGUAGAGGAGAGAAGCAGCUCCCAAUGCACACCAAACAAGCACUAACAAGCACGCACUAGCAGUCAAAUAAAUCCCACAAAAGCAACUAGUGGAAAACGUAACCAUACACAUGGUUGAUGGAAACAGGCUUUGCCCACCUAUCCCACCAUUAUUUUGUAUUUUUUUUUAAUCCAAAAGCAUUAUAAAAAGUAGAACAAAAAAGCUUUAUAUUUAUUUUUGUUAUAAAGUGUUAGGAUUAGUAACGGUAUCCCACUGAUAAUAUGUUUAGCAUUAUCGAGAGUCCAUUUUUGUUAAUGGUUAGUAAAAGAAGAGCAGAUAAAUAUAAUAGGAAAUAAUAGGGGAGGUCAGGGAGCAGAGAUCUUAUCGCUUAUUCCCUUGCUGAGUGAUCCUUCUUUUUUAAAUUGAUAGGAUUUGGAGAGGGAAUUGAGAGAGAAUUGAGAGAGAGAAGUUUUCUAUAUUCUCAAUCGUUCUUCAGAUCGUCUGUACACAAUGAAGGAGUUCGCAUCCUUUUGGAGGCAGAUGAUUGGAGGAGGCUUCCAAUUGGAGGAAGCUUCGAGGAAGCUUCCCAAUUGGAGGUGGGCUCCACCUAAUAUAUUUACAACACUCCCCCUUGGAGACCACAAGGGUAAACACAAUUUUGUCAAUUUGAGGGGAAAAUGAAAAUUAAAAAUUAAAAAAAUCCACUAGCUGCUUCCCAUGCCAUCAAGGGGCCAAGUUUCACAUGUGGCUUUCCAUCCAACACUAGCUUGUUUUAUUGAUAAAGAAGAGAACCAUUGCCCCCAGUGCAAUUUCCUAUCAAAGGGUCAAGUUUCACGUGCUGCUACUGUUGCGUUUUACAGUGGCGCUAGCAUUCCUCCACUCCCAAUUUACUUAUAUAAUGCUUUUGGAUUAAAAAAAAAAGGAACAAACAAAAUAAUGCUGGGACAGGUCAGCAAAGCCUGUUUCUAUCAACCAUGUCUGGGAAACCGGCUUCUAAGAUUCCCACGCUGCGCGAUAUUGAAACACUAGCUGCUUUCCAAUGUUGCUUCCCAUCAAACACUAGGUACUAGCUUGUUUUACUGACCCAGUGUUGCUUCCCAUCAAACACUAGCUUUACCCGAGCAAAAGACAACCAUUUACCUGAUCAAAGGACACCACAUUUCCCCAUAAAAGUUUCACAUGUGGGAUUUAUUUGACUGCUAGUGCGUGCUUGUUAGUGCUUGUUUGGUGUGCAUUGGGAGCUGCUUCUCCCCUCUACUUUAUUGUAUUGUAUUUGCUUUCUCUCUGUAUGAUCUCUUUAUGCAAUGAAAAGAACAAGUUUUCAAUUAUUUUUUAAAAAAAAGCCCGAACCGGCUUCUAAGUUAUUGGUAAAUCAAACUUUCCUGUGUAAAUUUGUUUUUCUUUCAGGUGAGGUAUGUGUAAAAACGUUGUUGGUGUUGUAAAAGUUUGAAGGUGGAGCUCACAGAGGAAGUUUCCUUGCAUCUUCUAGACUUUCCUUUCCCUGUAUUUAUCAAUUCAGAAGUUUCCUUGCAUCUUCCAGGACUUUCCUUCCCUGUAUUUAUCAAUUCAGGAAGUUUCCUUGCAUCUUCCAGGAACCUUCCCUUCCCUGUAUUUUGCCUAAACAUUAGCCUAUAAAUAGGCAUACCAAUUGUAAAGGGGAGUGUGACCAACGGAGAAAAGAAAGAAAGGGGAGAAGAGAAAAAGAAGAGAGAAGAAGAAGAGAAAAGAAGAAAGAAAAGAAGAGAAAAAGAAGAAAGAAAAGAGAGAAGAAGAAAGAGAGAGAAAAUUCAGUGAGCCUCACAUAUAGUAAACUCUAAAGUUGUAGCCCUAUUAUUUUAUAUAGUGAAAAAGUUACUGCUGCUGCUCUCCGAGGACGUAGGCAUAGCCGAACCUCGUUAAAUGCUGUGUCUCAUCUACUUUACGUGCAGCUCAAUAUUCAUACAUAUUCCAGGUUAUUUUUAUAACACGUUAUCAGCACGAGAAGCUCUCAGGUAUAAUUUUUGUGCUGCACUAUUAUCUAUACUACUAACCACUAACAAAAAUGGACCCUUGGUAAUACUAAACAUAUUAUCAGUGGGAGACCGUUACUAAUACUAACGUUUUUCUUAUUUUAUUCGGUGGUGGUUUUAACCCCACAUUUAUUUACUGUAUGGUGUAGGUUUAUUACCCAUAUAUGCACCUUUACUUUAUCGCAAAUUUAUUUUACCGCAUAUUUAUUUUAUUUACUGUAUGGUAUAGGUUUAUUACCUAUACAACAGUAUUUAUUUAAAAGGGUGGUGCGGGUUUAUCGUCCACGCCUUUGAUUUUAUUUAAAUGUAUGGAGCAGAAUUAGUGCCCAUACAAGCACAAUUUACUUUACCGCACAUUUAAUUUUAUUUAAAGUAUGGUGCGGGAUUAACGUCCAUACAGCAAGCAAUUUAAUUUAUGAAUUUAAUUUACUGCACAUUUACAUUUAUUUAAAGUGUGGUGCGGGUUUAUCGUCCAUACCAGUAAUUUAUUUACCAGCAAUUUAUUUUAUGGAUUAAAUGUGCUGUAUGAUGAGUUUUUACAGUAUGCAAAUCAGGACCAGAAGUUCCUUGAUCCUCAUCAUACAAUUACAUCAGGACUUGAAGAUCCUUGAUGAUGAUAUUAAUAUGAGAGCUGGCAGUCUCUCCGGUACUGUAUUUGUAAACAUGUGAUCGGACUUAAGGGUCCUUGAUCCCUGACAUGUAAAUAAGGACCUAGAGUUCCUUAAUGAUGUAACAGUACCGUAUUGGUUCAUGGUGUCAUACACAUGUAUGAUAACUGUACUGGCAGAUGAAUAGAUACGUAUUCAUGACUUGAUGAAUAGUACUAUUCACAUGAAUAGUGACGUAUGCAUACAUAUUAACCAUUUUGGGUAAACCGUCACUAUAUACAAAAGGGAACCCGCAGUUUCAUGGUGUCGUACACAUGGAUGAUAACUGUACUGGCAGAUGAAUAGAUACGUAUUCAUGACUUGAUGAAUAGUACUAUUCACAUGAAUAGUGAUGUAUGCAUAAAUAUUAACCAUUUUGGGUAAACCGUCACUAUAUACAAAAGGGAACCUGCAGUUCCUUAAACUCAUGGAUAAGCAAUUAAAUGAGAUGCCAGAAGUUCCUCAAGAUAUGGACAAUUAUGUAAGGGCUUGAAGUCCCGAAAUAUGUACAGAAAAUUGUAAAAAUGUCCAUACCAUGAGAAUAUGUGGCUUUGGCCUGAAGUUCCAAAUUUAAGAGUGUUGAGAACCUGAAGUUCCAACAAUUAAAUGGACAACCCUUGAGGUAUUAUUGCAAAUUGUGGUAUGCCACAUAUUUCUUUGGCAUAAGAAGAUGAUGAAUUUAAUAAAGUUCGAUUUUGUUAUAAUCGACACCUCAAGGAAGAAAUAUAUUUUGUGAAUUCCGGUUGUUAAGAAUACACCGCGAAAUGGAUAAUAUUAAUAUAAACCUCAAAUAAUGAAUUGAGACUCCCCACAUAUUUUGUUAUAUCUGGGCCGGAAGCCCAUGGAUCCAAAUAUAUGAGAGAUCCUAAACUUGAAGUUGUGGGUAUAUAGUAGUUAAUGCUCUUUACUACUAUAUUGCGAUAUUAUCAUGGCUUUUACUCAAUUCAUAUUUCAUGUCCAUUUGAAAAGGGCAAAUAAAUUCUGAGUUUGUGCCCAGGCCAUAAGUUUCAGGCUACCAUACGUUGAAAUAUGAAAUUUGGGAGAGUCGAUGUGGUUAUUUGAACCUAUAAGGCACAAGGUUCUAAAUCGUCAUUUUGAAAAAACGUAAAAACCACAGGUGCAAGUUUAAGAAUAUGCGCAAUUAUUAUAACAGGAACAUAUAACAGAUAGAUUUUUCCACCUGCAAUGAAGGUGCAGGCCCUGUGAAAUCUAUAAAAAAUUACAUUAUGUUCUGGAAGCCUCUGCAGGAAGAUGACGGCGCCUCUUAAGCUUAGCCAUGAGCUUCUCGUGGUCUCCCAAAAUUCUUUCAUUGGAGACCUGCAGCAUGUCUAGCCUUCUCAGUGUAUCAACGGAGUACGAACUCACCAGUUUCAACAAGGAAUUAUUCUCUCCUUUAAGUUUCUCAACCUCCUGUUGAGACUCAUGAAGCAUUCUUUGGAGAGACGAAUUUUCAGUUGUUAAAUUCUCAACCUCGUUUGCUCUAGCACGCAAACGAUCAGCCAUGUUAGAAACAGAAACAGCACUCUGAAUGCUAAAAGCCAUUGAGUCAUCAAUAGCCUCUUCCUCUGAUCUCCCCGUCAACAACAUUUCAUCCAUUGGAGUAAUGAAAUUCCUAGCUACUAUGACAGCAGUAGCAUCAUUCAUCAUCACAGAAUCAUUAACUGUGAGAUGACGAUUUUUGGAUACAAAGGAUGGACACCAAACUUGGGCGUCACUGGUAGUUGUGGGAGCAUCAUUUAAAUUGAAAUAAUUUGGGCAGGAAGAAGAGGAAACCAUUUUUUUUAAAGAAGGUUUCGAAGAAAGUCUUAGAAAAACUAAAGGCUCGGAAAAUGAAGGAAGUUGAGUUGAAACGCAGUUUGCAAAGGCAAUAUCUAUAGACGAAAAUGUGGCAACUUUUCAGGACCCCAAUAUCUUCUCGAAUCCCCAUAUUAUCUUUUUCUUUCCCAGAGUCCAAAACUUCACGUGGCCUCUAAUAAUGCCUGUCGGCACUUUCGGCGUUUUUCAAAGUAUUAUUUUCAAAGCCGAUCUUGCUUUACGGAUUUCACGGAACUACUUUUUCAAAAGUAUCCCGAGAAUCUCACAAUUUUCCUAUGGUUAAUUUGAAAUUCACCGGUUCUACCUAUUCAUUGUAUUUGUGUAUAAAUGUGUUACUAACGAAAUUUUCUUUGCAAAAGACAUCCAGUUUUCUCCAUACCUAGUGAUGCAAUAUCUACUUGUUUUUCUUAUCAGUGAGCACUUAAUAUGCCUGAGAAGCAAGACUAUCUCUGAUCAUACAUUCAGGAAGCAAGACUAUCCCUGAUCAUGUUUCCGCUACAUUAGGGAACUGUGAAGGUGACCUUAUGCUCCAAUCUCCUGAGGUCUUGCUAGACUAGGAGAAAUGAGAGCUUGUUGUUUGCUCCCACCAGCUUCCUUCCCUGAUUGCUUACCUUCUCUUGCAAUCAAUAUCACAUUAUUUUUGCAUUUUUUCUCUUUUUAUAACUCUCUGUUCAUAAGAGAUUUUAUUUCUUUAGAAUGAACAUCUGAAGAAUGAAUCCAUGAAGUAAUCCUAACUAUGAGGGUUAUUUGUUUUGACAGAGGCAAAAGAGUUGUGAUUUUUGCUCUUGCAGGAUAUAACUAGAUCAUCAAGCGCUACAUUAUAUUUACUGGGCUGAUAUGAGCUUGAAUGAUACUUGAGAAAAGUUUCUCCCACCUAAGGAUGUAAGUACUUGUGUUAUUUUAUGCUUAUAUACCUAUUUGAUAUUUUAUCUUGAAAGGUAACCAAAUUGGGAGAUAAGUCCGUUCCAAAAGAAUGGCUUGUAUGUAUCCAUGAAUUAUUAACGCAAAUUUUACAGAUUGCAAGUUCGAUACAUUGAUAAUACACUGCACAGAUUAAAGUCCCAUAAGAACAGAAUAUGGGUAUAGCAGUGAUCAAUAUGAUGCACGCCUGUUGCGUAGCAAAUGAUGUGGAUUGAAGUCCCGAAAGGACAAUCCUUUGACAUGUCAAUAUUGAUAUUAUGCACGCCUAAUGCGUAGCAAAUUAUAUGGGUUAAAGUCCCAUAAUAUGGGUUAAAGUCCCAUCAUAUGGGUUAAAGUCCCAGAAAUUAAUUGACAUGUAUGUAUUAAUCUGUGGCAUGCCUACAACAUGACAGAUAUAUGGGUUCUAAAUAUUCCAACUCUCUAAAUAGAGAUUAUUUACGCCCUACUGUAAAAUAACGCUCCAUUGGAGGUUAUAAUCCACAUUCUCACAUAAUAAAAGCCCCAUGAAGUGGCUUGGGUACCCAAAAGCAAAGGAAUGCUUAUAAUUGAUGCAUGCGCAUGCACAUGAGAAUUGUGAGAUCAUGAAUUGAUGAAUGACAAUUUUUGGUUUUGGAGUAGCUACUCAAAUCAUCAAUGGGCUGUGUUGAUUGGAACCACGUUCAAUUAUUAAAUGUCGACAAUAUCAUUGGCCAAAAUGGAACGAGGUAAUUCCAUUAUAAAUGAGAAUGAACGUGAAAGAACAAACCCACAGUACGAACCCCAAAAUUUGUUAAUACUGAAAUUUAUACUUGGGUGUUCGGAAUAAAAGGAAAUAUACCUACUUUGUAUGACACACUGUUUCUGGCAGAAACAAGAAAUGUUGGGUUUUCUCCAUAUUUACAUAUUCAAUUGUGCCCCCCCUUAUUACACAAUUACGGAGACCAACAUAUUAUCUUUAAGGGUUAUUAAUGCACAGAGCAUAUCGCCAGAAGCGAUUUCCUAAAGAUGUAUAAAUAGCUGGGUUAAAGCUAUAUAAUGUGUCAUAAAGUUUAAUCCCUUUUAAACAAAAUCCGUUGAGAGGAUUGACAUUGCAUAAAGCAAGUCCCUAAAGGACAUGUGCUUGAAGCACAAAAUUUGUACUCAAUAUUAAUAUGCAUAAAUUACCUCAGUGAGUACAUGGAUUAUAAUGUGAUUGCAACACAUUAAAGCUUCUGCAGAAUUCAUGAAAUAUUUGUCUCGAUCGAGCAUUAUGCCAACGAGAUUCUUGCUUAUACUAAGAAAGUAUUAAAGUAUUUUUAUGAGGAUUAUCCGUUGGACACUUUAAUGAUUUUCCAGAAGUAUAUUGGACCGGACAUCAUAUUUUCCAGAUAGGGCUUAACUCCAUCACCAUCAUUUUGGGAUGAUGUGAGGUAUAUGUGAUGCUAUCUAAGCAUAACACCAUAUACGGGCAUAUUUUUUUAGUGAACUUAUAAAUAGCCCAAGUGUUCUAAGAUAUGCGGACUCAGGAAAUCUCUAUGGUCGCUUACUGGAAAAAGCUAGUCAUGAAGUUUUUCAUGGGGAGAUAUUCAUCAGGGGGAGCAUGGUAUUAAUAAAGACCUUCGUACACUAUUGACUCACAGCAGCAGUGUCAACUACGAUAUUCAGACAGAUGAUCAACAGUAUGGCUUAAAGAUAUUUUGCCAAGCAUCAGGGGGAGUGUGCUGUCAAUACAGACCCUUACACACUGUACUCUUUUUCCUUCGUCCAGGUUUUUAUCCCACUGGGUUUUUCCUGGCAAGGUUUUAACGAGGCAGUGUCGCACGCGCGUCAAUAUACACAGAAUUUUAUGUUACACGUGAUUAUGUACUCUUUUUCCCUUCGACCAGUUUUUGUCCCACUGGGUUUUUACUGGCAAGGUUUUUAACGAGGCAUAUUCCAUAUCAUUUGUGGUCUCCAAGGGGGAGUGUUGUAAAAGUUUGAUGGUGGAGCCCACAGAGGAAGUUUCCUUGCAUCUUCCAGGAACUUUCCCUUCCCUGUAUUUAUCAAUUCAGGAAGUUUCCUUGCAUCUUCCAGGAACUUUCCUUCCCUGUAUUUAUCAAUUCAGGAAGUUUCCUUGCAUCUUCCAGGAACCUUCCCUUCCCUGUAUUUUGCCUAAACAUUAGCCUAUAAAUAGGCAUACCAAUUGUAAAGGGGAGUGUGACCAACGGAGAAAAGAAAGAAAGGGGAGAAGAGAAAAAGAAGAGAGAAGAAGAAGAGAAAAGAAGAAAGAAAAGAAGAGAAAAAGAAGAAAGAAAAGAGACAAGAAGAAAGAGAGAGAAAAUUCAGUGAGCCUCACAUAUUGUAAACUCUAAAGUUGUAGCCCUAUUAUUUUAUAUAGUGAAAAAGUUACUGUUUGGGCCCAAAUUCGGCACACCCAAAACCAAGAGACAAGCCCAUGAUGAAAUUGCCUGCCCAGCCCAAAGACUUGAGAAAAAUAAAAAUAGGAUCCAGACAGAUUGGGCUUCACACCAAGAAUGUUGAAAACGAAGCUUCAGCCCAAAGAAAUGCCCAAAGAGGAAACUGACAAGAUGGGCUUCAAAAGAUCAGCCCAUGAAUUAUUGAUUAGGUUCAGACCCAAGGGGAUCAAAGACACACCCACGUGAUUGUCUCAAUGUUGAAGAAUCAGCAAUUCCAACUAAGUUUAAAAUAUGAAGGGGACAUUUCUGAAACACUGCCGACAGAAGAUCAAAAACCCAUCUGUGUUCGAGAUUUUGCUCCAAAUCAAUAUACCAUCUUCCAAGGAAUUCACAGACCACACUUCCUGAGCUAAAAGCAGAAAAUAGGGAACUGUUCAAGAAAUACAAAAGAGAAUAACCAAACCGCCAUAAAAAGCCCACACAGACAAUGGCAUCGGUUGAAUUAGAGAGGUGCCACCCAGGAAACCAGGGAAGAGACUGCUUUAGGAGGUGACUGCUUAGAGUUUGUCUGCCAUGACUGAUAAAGAUCUUUUUUACUUUGCAUUGUAAGAGAUCUUUUAUGCCGCCCAUUAUUUUAAAACCACCUCCCCAAAAGGGUCUCUUAUAAAAACGAAAGUAGGCAAAGGAACAAAUACACUCAACUCAUCAACCAAAAAAAACAACAGCAGGAAAAACAGCCAAGAGCUCACUUGAAUUCCAAGAGAAACCAACCUUAAAUCAGAAUUCCAAGGUUCAGACUUAGAAAACAAAUUUCCUAGAACGAGAUCCCUCGUUACAAAUUUGGUUCAGCAAAAGCCAAGACAAACAUAGUCUGAGUUUUCACAACUAUGAAAACCUCAACAAAUUUUACAGCAUGGUUCCAGCUUGCUAAAUCCUCGAGAAUAGCCACUUCUGUCCCUUCAGACUGAAGAAGUCACAGUUCUGCCCGCUUAAGAGCCUCCCAAGGCUUGAAGUAGAUUGAAGCUCUGCCAAAAUCGAACUUUGGUAUCGAUUUACAGCUGAAGCCAAGCAGCUAAAGUUGUUGACAGUACAGUCCAGCAUAGACAUACCCAGUCCAGCCCGGAUCAGAAGUUUCUACCCAGGCAGAAAUGGGAUUCCAGCCAUCUUUUUGCCCUUCUAGAGUUGAUUUCUCCCUUCUUAAUUUUGUAAAAGGCAGUUCUGCCUGAAACAGUACUUUAUUAUUAUCUAUUCUGGCCAGAACAACCAUUUUUGAUACUGAGAUAAAUUGUGAAAGUCCUCACCAGUCUGAGGCAAGAAAAGAACUUACUUGGGAGAUAUUCCUCACCCAAAUUCACAAUCGUUUGUUUUAGAAGUCAGUAACUUGAGGCGCAAGUUAUCCACUCUAAAAAUAAGUCUGCUAGAAUUUACAUUGCUAGCAGUGGCACGCUCGCACACCAAAGAAAGCUGACUUGUCGACCAACAAGUGGUCUCCAAACCAGUGGGGAACUUCGCCCUUCCACAUCAGGAGUUAAACACGAAAACGGGUGAACAGUUACUGCUGCUGCUCUCUGAGGACGUAGGCAUAGCCGAACCUCGUUAAAUGCUGUGUCUCAUCUACUUUACGUGCAGCUCAAUAUUCAUACAUAUUCCAGGUUAUUUUUAUAACAGUUGGUAAUUUAAAUGCGGGUUUUUCAAAUCCUUUCUCAAUUUUUUCACACUUUAUCAGCCACAUUAAAUGUGUGUUGUGAAUCUACUAGUUAGCAUUCGGGGUGGGCACUCAAAUUGGCGAACCGGAAAUCCGAGCAGAACCGCACCGAACCAAACCGGAAAAAAACCGAGUUGACCAAAAAGUCAAAAACCGAACCGGACCGGUUUGGAACGGUUCCGGAUCCGGUUCCAUGUCUUCAAAAACCGAACCGGUGAAACUAAAAAAAUAUAUAAUUUCAAUAUAUAUUUAUAUUUAAUGCUAUAUUUUUAAUUUCACUAAAAAAAACCUAAUAUUUAUCCAAGUUCAAUGUCAAAAUAUCUCUCCUUUCUCACUUUAAUAUUUAUUUUUUAUAUGAAAUUGAAUAAUUUUUUAAUUUUCAAGUAAAAAAAUAAUAUUUCAGUUGAGAAUUGUAUUAAAAAACAAUUUAAAAAAAUAAUUUUUAUAAUCCGGUUCAAAACCGAACCGGAACCGAAACCGGACCGACACCGGUUCAAACCGAACCGGACAGUUUUUGAAAUUUUUUUUAUUAAAACCGAACCGAACCAAACUGGAUGAAUAGUAUCGGAUCGGUUCUAAUUUGAGGCAAAAAUCGGUCCAAACCGAACCGUGCCCACCCCUAGUUAGCAUUCAAAUCUCCUCUAGAAUGUUGCACAAUCUACUUUUUAUAAUGCAUUUGGAUUUAUUAAAAAAAACUACUCCCAAUCUACUUUUUACAAUGCUUUUGGAUAAAUAAUAAAUAACAAAAUAAUGGUGGGAUGGGUCAGCAAAGCCUGUCUAUCAACCAUGCCUAGGGAACCGGCUCUUCUUAGAUUCCCACGCUGCGCGAUAUUUUCGUUAAAGCUCUUCACGUUCCUGCCUUGUAUUUUCACCAGGUAGCUACAGUCCCCCAACUGGCCCCCAUGAUGGCUGAUAUUAAUUUGUUUUUUUUCCAUGGAUUGCUAACGUGAAGAUGUAUCCAACUAUUAAUAAGAGUACUUUUGCUGAUAUUUCAAAUUUCAUACACUCAUACAAACCUUUAUCCAUUUUUGGUUCUGCUUUCCGAUGUCCUGCAUCAUCAAAAAUGGCAAAGAGAGAGCAGAUGCAAGCACAACUCCUUUCCUCUUUCACUCUCCUUCUAACUCCAGAAUUAAACCCAACACUCAACCUCUACCUCACUCUCCUCCUAUAUAUUGACAUCAUCUUCCUUCACAUUUUACUCACAUCCUAAAUUAACUACAUAUUUCAUUUGCAUCAUCAUCUAAACACAUUUUACAUGGCUAUGCCUCGUUCUUUAAAAUUGAUCCGCCUUUUAAAAAAAGCUUGGAGCACCCUUAAACAAUCCAACGCUAGGAGAAACAAAAAUCAAAAGAAUAGAGCAACAUCAAGUUUACCAAGUGUACUCUCCCAAAUUCAAAAGCUUGAUACAAUCUAUGUCGAAACCGCGGCAGAUAUGGAGGUGGUGCAAAAACUUAUCAAUGCCCAGGAACUGUGGAAGGGCACCCACAUUGUUGUGAAAAACUUACUUUGCGUCCUCCCAAUCGUCACUUUCAAUGACUUCUAACUUAAGCUCUUUGGCCUUUUGUUUAAUAGUUGCAGUUGUGACAUCUUGUUUGGUCUUCACAACAAUGUAGGUGCCCUUCCACGGUUCCUGUGCAUUGAUAAGUUUGGCCUUUUGUUUAAUAUAUAUAUAUUACCCAUUUCGAAUAAAUAAUAUUAAACAAUUGAAUUGUUAUUCGCACUUUCAUUUGUCAUUUCCUCAAAAAAAAAAAUUGAUUUUUUUUUAUAUUUCUCUUGUUACGUAAUACUUUAUUCUAAUUUAUAAUCGCUACAUAUUACGUGAUGAGAAAGAUAUUAAGAAAGAAUGCAUGCACCAGAAUUAAUACAUUUCUCUACAAUUUAUAUACCUUAUAGAUGUACUCGACUAAAUAACUCCUCUAAUCGGAUGUUCGGUAUAAAAUUAAAGACACCUCAAACCGAAGAGAAGAAUCAUUAAUUAACAAAGACUAGUUUAGCAAAGCUAUGUGCCACACGUUUAACAUUACAACCUUAGCAUCAUCAUCGCUCAAGCAAAGGAAACAAAGCAGAGAUGAUUUCGGAAAAGAUAAGUGCAAAAAAACAGCAGUAAAGUUGAGAAAUGAAAGCUAAGAUAAGAGAGUGAGGUUGAUGUAUUAAUUACUCAAAUACUGAGUCCACUCCCACUCUUAUGUAUCCAAUGACUCCAUGCACUAUAUAUACCCGUGACGCUUCCCAUUCCUCUCCGUUUUCCUCCGUUCUCCACUUCUCUCUCUCUCUCUUCCCAAACCUGCAAAGGGGUUUUAGUACGGUUUCUUAUCUGCCAAAAGCCCCUUCUAGCUAGCUGGCUAGGCGCUCCUCCUCCCGUACUCUUCGCAGGUCUCUGCUUCUUCUUUUCCAUCACCUUAUUUCUUUCCUCUUCGAUCCACUCCGAAAUCACCCUUCUAUAAAAGUUCAGAUUCCACCUAAAACCUCACUCAGUACAAACAACUCACUGGUACAGUGGUACAGUUUGUUCUGUAUAUGCUUCUUGAUGUCUCUCAAGAACAAACCUACAUCUCCAAUUUCAUUUCCUCUCCCUCAAAACCCAUGACAAGCUUCCAAACCAUCUCGUCCGUAAACCCCAUGGUCAAAUUUUCGGAGCAAGUAACCACCAUGAUCAAGCUCAUCACCCACGAAAACCAAAACUCGCCUGUGAACCCGACCCAUCUCCCACCAAAGCUCGUCCGGAUCAUACUCACAGACGCCGACGCCACCGACUCCUCCAGCGACGAAGAAGACAGCGGCGUACGCAGAGUCAAACGACAUGUCAGACAGAUCAGCCUCGAGCUCUCUUCACCUUCCUCCUCCUCCUCCCUUCUUCUUCUUCUUCUUCAUUUUCUUCGGGUCAUUCCAAACGGCUCAGAAAAGGCCAACGACCCACCAAGAAACUCGGGUCGAGGUCGCCGGGAUCCGACCAGACUCGGCUGAACAAGUUCCGAGGAGUCCGCCGGCGACCAUGGGGCCGAUGGGCCGCGGAGAUCCGUGACCCGACCCGGAGAAAACGAGUCUGGCUCGGAACAUUCGACACGGCAGAGGAAGCUGCCACUGUUUACGACAGAGCCGCAGUGUUGCUCAAAGGUCCUGACGCCGUCACCAACUUUCCUAACGCCGCUAUGACGGAAGCCAAGGUCGUUGUUGGAGUCGGAGUUCUCCCCACUAGUGUCUCCGCCCCCAGAUUCCAAAGAACUUUCAGUGCUAUUCAGUCAAUAUUAAAUACAAAAUUAAUUCUAAUGAUAUUCAUAGCUAAGCUAAAUGAAAAUUAUAAAUACUCACAGAAAAAAAAGACUUAGUUUGAAAUCUGCAGACAUAAUAUUAUUUGUUUUUUUGUGUGUGUAAUUUUAAGUCUUUGGAUAUCAACACUCUUUGUUUCAUUUCAAUGUGUAAUUUUAAGUCUUCAGACAACACUCUCUUGUAUUGGUUUUUGUUCUUUUGUCAGCAGGUGGAAGGCCUUACUAGCACGACCAGACAACCUCGGUUCUUUCUCUCACUCUACGACUACGGCAGCUCACUCAUUUAGCUUAGUUAUGAAUAUUAUUAGAAUUAAUUUUGUAUUUAAUAUUGACUGAAUAGCACUGAAAGUUCUGUGGAAUCUGGGGGCAGAGACACUAGUGGGGAGGACUCCGACUCCAACAACGACAACGCCGGAACAAGCAACUGUGACUAGUAAUUUAAUUAUUAGUUUUGGUGUGUAAUUUUAAGUCUUCGGACAUUAACACUCUUUGUUUUGUUUCGGUGUGUAAUUUUAAGUCUUUGGACAUUAACACUCUUUGUUUUAUUUUGGUGUGUAAUUUUAAGUCUUUGGACAUUAACACUCUUUGUUUCAUUUCAAUGUGUAAUUUUAAGUCUUCGGACAACACUCUCUUGUAUUGGUUUUUGUUCUUUUGUCAGCAGGUGGAAGGCCUUACUAGCACGAGGCAGGAAAUGGAUAACAAAGUUGCUGAGGCUCCUUCUUCCGGAACUACAAAUCCUGAUGCAUGACGAUGGUCUCUGAUCUCCUAAUUUUAUUAUUAUUAUUUGUAAUUGUGAUGUUUUAAGGGAGUUUCUGACUUUAGGAAAGUUUUUCCAUAUGUUAUUAUAGUAAGUUUAGCUUUUUAUAAUAUUGCACAUUAUUAUUUACGGAUUGACCAUCGAGUUUGAAAGGCUUACCCACGCAUUUACUAUUUCUAUUGAGUUAAUGCCAUUUUCCCGCAUCUACAAUUCAGGUUGCCAAGACACGAAAAACGGAAGUAUCCACCAAGUAACAGGAAAAAAUACAAAAAGCAAAGCAAAAGCCAAAAAGAAAGUCAUGCUCUCUCUCGCGUUUCCAAGGCAACCCAUUCUUCAGAAUAACUUUAUUAAGAGAUCUUCUUAUGAUGGUAAAAAAUAUUCAUCAUGACUCUUGCUCGAUGCCCCCAAAGAGCAAGCAAAAUUAUUUAACGUAUGAAAAUGACAAAAGCUGCCCAAAAUUAUUUCCGGUAAAUAUGAACCAUCCAAUUUCCAAACACUCCAAAAACAACAAAAAAAUGUUUCUGGUGCAUAGGCCGGUGGCGGGCUCCAAAUUCCAAUGCUUCAUCCAUCUUCUUCCAUCUGAUAUCUUUUUCUUUUUUUUUCGGUCAACACUUCCAUCUGAUAUCUUUGAAGAGACUUUUAGUUUUUAUUUGAUCCAUUGGUCCAAACAUUGAAUCACAACACAGUGAGUUUUGUGGAGUAUUUUAUCACAUAUUAAGAACAUAAAAAUUUAGCAUGUGUUUUAUGAAGCAAAUAUGAUUGCGGAUCGAUGAUGCCUUAACAACUAUGUGACAUAAUUAUGUGCAUUCUUAUAUUUGGUUUUCUAAUUUCUCUAUUUUGUAGUCGUUAUAAUUUAUUUUAAAUUUCAUAAUAUUGGAAUCCUUUGCGGAUCUUCGUCCUAUAUUUUGCUUGUUUCAUUAAAAAUAACCGAGUGACUUAGUGAGAUAGUGUCGUGAGAUAGGGUCAAACAACUUUUCUUUUUCUUUUUUUCCCUGCGAAAGGUGUCGAACACUUUCAGAGAGAAAGUGGUGCAAUUACUUGCCCACUGCGUAAAGUCCCUUUCAAUGUGGAUGAGUUUGAGUUACUUUCCUUCCAAGUUGAAACAAACAAGAAAUCCAAAACGAUCGAGCACGCACCAAGUCUACAUCACUCACGUGCUCCUUUUUCCUAUACCCUCUGCCCUCCAUUCAUCAUGGCUUAUGGUAGUACUACUACUAAGUUACAAAGUUUACAAACCCUUCCCUACGAACCAUUCACAAUUUUGUCAAUUUGAGGGGAAAAUGAAAAUGAAAAAUUAAAAAAAUCCACUAGCUGCUUCCCAUGCCAUCAAGGGGCCAAGUUUCACAUGUGGCUUUCCAUCCAACACUAGCUUGUUUUAUUGAUAAAGAAGAGAACCAUUGCCCCCAGUGCAAUUUCCCAUCAAAGGGUCAAGUUUCACGUGCUGCUACUGUUGCGUUUUACAGUGGCGCUAGCAUUCCUCCACUCCCAAUUUACUUAUAUAAUGCUUUUGGAUAAAAAAAAAAGGAACAAACAAAAUAAUGCUGGGACAGGUCAGCAAAGCCUGUUUCUAUCAACCAUGUCUGGGAAACCGGCUUCUAAGAUUCCCACGCUGCGCGAUAUUGAAACACUAGCUGCUUUCCAAUGUUGCUUCCCAUCAAACACUAGGUACUAGCUUGUUUUACUGACCCAGUGUUGCUUCCCAUCAAACACUAGCUUUACCCGAGCAAAAGACAACCAUUUACCUGAUCAAAAGACACCAUAUUUUCCCAUAAAAGUUUCACAUGUGGGAUUUAUUUGACUGCUAGUGCGUGCUUGUUAGUGCUUGUUUGGUGUGCAUUGGGAGCUGCUUCUCUCCUCUACUUUAUUGUAUUGUAUUUGCUUUCUCUCUGUAUGAUCUCUUUAUGCAAUAAAAAGAACAAGUUUUCAAUUAUUUUUUAAAAAAAAGCCCGAACCGGCUUCUAAGUUAUUGGUAAAUCAAACUUUCCUGUGUAAAUUUGUUUUUCUUUCAGGUGAGGUAUGUGUAGAAACGUUGUUGGUAAUUUAAAUGCGGGUUUUUCAAAUCCUUUCUCAAUUUUUUCACACUUUAUCAGCCACAUUAAAUGUGUGUUGUGAAUCUACUAGUUAGCAUUCAAAUCUCCUCUAGAAUGUAGCACAAUCUACUUUUUAUAAUGCAUUUGGAUUUAUUAAAAAAAACUACUCCCAAUCUACUUUUUACAAUGCUUUUGGAUAAAUAAUAAAUAACAAAAUAAUGGUGGGAUGGGUCAGCAAAGCCUGUCUAUCAACCAUGCCUAGGGAACCGGCUCUUCUUAGAUUCCCACGCUGCGCGAUAUUUUCGUUAAAGCUCUUCACGUUCCUGCCUUGUAUUUUCACCAGGUAGCUACAGUCCCCCAACUGGCCCCCAUGAUGGCUGAUAUUAAUUUGUUUUUUUUCCAUGGAUGGCUAACGUGAAGAUGUAUCCAAUUAUUAAUAAGAGUACUUCUGCUGAUAUUUCAAAUUUCAUAUUCAUACAAACCUUUAUCCAUUUUUGAUUCUGCUCUCCGAUGUCCUGCAUCAUCAAAAAUGGCAAAGAGAGAGCAGAUGCAAGCACAACUCCUUUCCUCUUUCACUCUCCUUCUAACUCCAGAAUUAAACCCAACACUCAACCUCUACCUCACUCUCCUCCUAUAUAUUGACAUCAUCUUCCUUCACAUUUUACUCACAUCCUAAAUUAACUACAUAUUUCAUUUGCAUCAUCAUCUAAACACAUUUUACAUGGCUAUUCCCCGUUCUUUAAAAUUGAUCCGCCUCUUAAAAAAAGCUUGGAGCACCCUUAAACAAUCCAACGCUAGGAGAAACAAAAAUCAAAAGAAUAGAGCAACAGCAAGUUUACCAAGUGUACUGUCCCAAAUUCAAAAGCUUGAUACAAUCUAUGUCGAAACCGCGGCAGAUAUGGAGGUGGUGCAAAAACUUAUCAAUGCCCAGGAACCGUGGAAGGGCACCCACAUUGUUGUGAAGACCAAACAAGAUGCCACAACUGCAACUAUUAAACAAAAGGCCAAAGAGCUUGACUUAGAAGUCAUUGAAAGUGACGAUUGGGACGACACAAAGUAAGUCUUUUUUUUUUCUUUUUUUUUUUUGGUGAGUAUUUAUAAUUUUCAUUUAGCUUAGUAAGUUAUGAAUAUUUGCUCCUCAGGAAGAACCAAAUGGGUUGUCACCCGCGUCUAUAUAUGGUAACUUGUCAAUGGGAGUGGCAAGUAUAUCUAUUUCAAAUUCGGAGAUUGGGUUCCCCUGCGGUCGAGUCCAUGGGAAGUGAUCGCGUUGGCGAUUGUGUGGCAAACACGUGGAGGGUUUUCGUAUAUGUUGUUUGAUGAUUGGGCGGUCUAUGCUUGGUUUUAUUAUUGAAAAGAUAAUAAAUAAAAAAUAAAAUACACAUGACAACGUCUAUUAAUUAACGUAGCAUGACACAUCAGCUGUCACAUAAGAAAAUCAACUAAUACAGUCAAUAUUAUGUCUAAAUAACAUUACUCUUAAAUUAUUAAUAAGUAUUCUUCGUUGUGACAGCUGAUGUCAGUGUGUCGUUACUUGAACAUUCUACAAGCUUUAUCCAUAUCCUCGUGAAAUUGGUGUGAAGGCCAGGGCUAUCUGAUGUAAUUUCCUUGUUUGUCUUGGGCAUUUGGUUAGCCAAAAAGAAAAUGAAAUUGGUCGUGAGAAAACACAUUCUCACUUGAGCUUUCGCGCAGUGGGUCAAUAGUUCUUAUUCAAUGAGGAACUUUCAAAUACACAAAAGUGUAAUUUAGCAUGGCACAACUCAGUAAGUUGGAACCAAUCUCACAAUGUAAUUUCAUGAAGUUUAGACAAGUAAAGGGAUUGAUUUCAACAUGGUUGUUUGUGCCAUUCACUGUCCUUUUGUCGGCUCUCGUUUAAGAUUGGAUUUCAAGUGAUUAUAGUAGAAGCUUUAAAAAAAAUCAAAUAGAAUCAAUCAAAUACACCAACCCAAAAUCGAACCAAAUCAAUUAUUGUAAUUGGUUUAGUUUUCAAUUUUAAGGGUGAAACAGACACAAACAAACUGUGCCUACCCCAAAUUCCCACAUAAUUUCCCAAAUUUGUACAAAUUGAAAUCUUGAGUUGGACAUAAUUUCGGGUUACACUUAACUCAAAUUUGGAUUUGGCACUCUUGACUAGAGAUGGUCUAACUAAGUUAACCAGCCUACAUUGCCAAAGUAACGAGGCCUAGUUGGCUGGCCCAAAUAAUUUCUAGACCCAAUUAAGGAAACUAGAACUGGACCGACAAGACUACCCGAAAAACCUGGUUUUACAAUUUUACUAGGACUUGGAACCAAAAACCUGGUUUUACGGUUUUAUUAGAAAGGGCAUAACAGGAAUUCGAGAGAAAAAACAAGUCCUUUCCCGUAAUUUUUGAGUUGCGUAGCAUAUUCGUGUUCUCGGCCAAACCCUCGCCUAUAAAUUCCAGUUGACGAAGCCUCUUGAAACCCUCUCUAGCUCUCUAGUUGCUGCGUCGCUCUCUCCUCUCAAAUCCCUAGUAAAGCUUGUUGGGGCGAUCCGAGAGAAAGACUCUGCUGCAAACAUGUUGGUUUACCAAGACCUCCUCACUGGUAAUUUCCCCCGUUAUUUUAUUUUCCCCCUCUCUGUCUUAAAUUAGGGUUUUAGUUUUGUUCAUAUUAGUUUUCAGGGAUGAUACGAAGUUAGAUCUCUGUUAAAUCUCCAAAUUUUAGGUUAGGUUAGGGAUCUGAUUUUGUUCACUGGCGCCCAAUUUUCACUACUGCCGUAUUUGUCUUGUUGUUUCACAAAUUUCUUGAUCUAUAGCUGCUGUAUUUAUUUUGUGUUGAUUAUGUGCAAGUUUUGUUUUAUGUAAUCAGAGCUACUGGGCUGCAUGUUGUGUAUAUUUAUAAUUUUCAUUUAGCUUAGUAAGUUAUGAAAAUUAUAAAUACUCACAAAAAAAAAAAAAAAAAAANNNNNNNNNNNNNNNNNNNNNNNNNNNNNNNNNNNNNNNNNNNNNNNNNNNNNNNNNNNNNNNNNNNNNNNNNNNNNNNNNNNNNNNNNNNNNNNNNNNNACAAAUCUUUAUCCAAUUCUGGUUCUGCUCUCCGAUGUCCUGCAUCACCAAAAAUGGCAAAGAGAGAGCAGAUGAAAGCACAACUCCUUUCCUCUCUCACUCUCCUUCUAACUCCAGAAUUAAACCCAACACUCAACCUCUACCUCACCCUCCUCCUAUAUAUUGACAUCAUCUUCCUUCACAUUUUACUCACAUCCUAAAUUAACUACAUAUUUCAUUUGCAUCAUCAUCUAAACACAUUUUACAUGACUAUUCCCCGUUCUUUAAAAUUGAUCCGCCUCUUAAAAAAAGCUUGGAGCACCCUUAAACAAUCCAACGCUAGGAGAAACAAAAAUCAAAAGAAUAGAGCAACAGCAAGUUUACCAAUUGUACUCUCCCAAAUUCAAAAGCUUGAUACAAUCUAUGUCCAAACCGCGGCAGAUAUGGAGGUGGUGGAAGGAUGCAAAGUAAGUCUUUUUUUGUGUGAAUAUUUAUAAUUUUCAUUUAGCUUAGUUUUUGAAUAUUAUUAGAAUUAAUUUUGUAUUUAAUAUUGACUGAAUAGUACUGAAAGUUCUUUGGAAUCUCGGGGCGGAGACACUAGUGGGUAGAACUCUGACUCAAACAACGACAACGCCGGAACAAGCAACUGUGACUAGUAAUUUAAUUAUUAGUGGCUGUUAUGUAGUUUGAAAUCUGCAGACAUAAUAUUAUUUGUUUUAUUUUGGUGUGUAAUUUUAAGUCUUCGGACAUUAACACUCUUUGUUUUGUUUCGGUGUGUAAUUUUAAGUCUUUGGACAUUAACACUCUUUGUUUCAUUUCAAUGUGUAAUUGUGAUGUUUGAAGAGACUUUUAGUUUUUAUUUGAUCCAUUGGUCCAAACGUUGAAUUACAACACAGUGAGUUUUGUGGAGUAUUUUAUCACAUAUUAAGAACAUAAGAAUUUAACAUGUGUUUUAUGAAGCAAAUAUGAUUGCGGAUCGAUGAUGCCUUAACAACUAUGUGACAUAAUUAUGUGCAUUCUUGUAUUUGGUUUUCUAAUUUCCCUAUUUUGUGAUCUUCGUCCUAUAUUUUGCUUGUUUCAUUAAAAAUAACCGAGUGACUUAGUGAGAUAGGGUCAAACAACUUUUCUUUUUCUUUUUUUCCUGCGAAAGGUGUCGAACACUUUCAGAGAGAAAGUGGUGCAAUUACUUGCCCACUGCGUAAAGUCCCUUUCAAUGUGGAUGAGUUUGAGUUACUUUCCUUCCAAGUUGAAACAAACAAGAAAUCCAAAACGAUCGAGCACGCACCAAGUCUACAUCACUCACGUGCUCCUUUUUCCUAUACCCUCUGCCCUCCAUUCAUCAUGGCUUAUGGUAGUACUACUACUAAGUUACAAAGUUUACAAACCCUUCCCUACGAACCAUUCACAAAAAAGAAACAGAUCGUUACGAUAUAAAGCAUAUCCCACCCAUUUCCAAUUCAAUCAGUAUUUAAAUUAAAUUUAAAAUUUUAAAAUUUUAAAAAAAAAACAUUUAAAGAAAAAGGAUGUGUCCGUUGGCCAUGCCAUGCAUCUCCCUCUCACCUUUAAUUAUAAUUUAUAUAUUAUAUAUAAUUGUGAGAAAUUUAAUAUUAAUUUUCUAUUUGAAUGGAAAUUAAUAAAAUUCAUUGGCUUAAAGACAUCUUCAAUUGGAGGGUGACAACUCUUUAGACCAAGGGAUACAUUGUUUGCCUUUUCAGAUUGGGGUACCGUUUUGGAAAGGGGUUUUUUUUUUUUUUUUUUUGCCCCUGUUUGGAAAGGGUAUUUCAUCAUCUAUAAAUAGAGCAAUCAUCCUGCAGUUUUUUUCAUUCAAUUAAUUCUCUACAUACAAACUUCCAUAUAUAGAGAGCAUUAGAAUUUUCAUAAAGAGAGUUCCUGCAUAAUUUUGGUUCAAACUUCCUUGUGAAAUGCAGUGCUUCUUUCAUAAGGAAGGGAGUUGUUGUAUCCCAGGACGCGAACACUAGUGAACCAUAAGCACCAAUGUGGGGUGUAAUUCGUCUUAAGGUCAGAGUAGACCAACUAAAACAAUAAUUAAAAAAAUUAUAUAUAUAUAUAUAUAUGUAUAAUUUUUGUAUAUUUGACCUUUGACUUCAUAUUGAAAAAUAUAAUUUGACAAGGAAUAUCAUGCAAUAUCAAAAUAAUUAUUGUAAUAUUUGAAGGAUUUUUAUCUAUAAAAAAUAAAUGUUGCAAAAAAAAAAAUUCAUUCAAAGAUCUAAAACAAUAAUUAAAAUAAAAAAAUAAAAAUCUAAUAUUUUUUUAAAGAGAGGCGUCAGACUCUCGUGUUCUAUUUAGCGAACCACUUUUCAGAGUCAUUGUAUUAGACAAGCGAGUGAGACAUUUUUUUUCACUAUUGGACUAUACAGUCUCAUUUAAGUUAGUCCCGUCUCUUACCAAACAAGGAUUUCGAGUGCUAUUUAACCCAGUCCAGUCCAGUAAGGCGUACCAAACAUAAGAACUCUUUAAUGCAAGAUUUGCAGCUUACGUGUAUUCUUUUUUUCAUUUGGUUGGGCUUUGUAGUUUAUAUAUGAAUGGGCCAAUGAGUGUGGUAUAUGAGAGUGGGCUUUUGUUAUAUCAAUCUUAAUUUAUUCGGAGCCUAGCAAAUCCAAUAAAAAUUCAAAGCAAAUUAGCGGGAGCUUCUACAUAUUAAAGACACCUAUUCUUUGACGAAACAAGCUAAGCUCUUUGUGGAUGAGAUAGUGAGAUUGCACAGAGUGCCUGUAUCCAUUGUGUCGGAUAGGGAUGCUAGAUUCACGUCUCGAUUCUAGGUUACGGUUUAGUACAGCUUUUCAUCCACAAAGUGAUGGACAGUCAGACAGAACAAUUCAAACCUUGAAGGAUAUGUUGAGAGCUUGUGUAUUGCAACUUAAGGAUGGUUAGGAUACUCAUCUUGCCUUAGUAGAGUUUGCAUAUAACAACAGUUAUCAUUCGAGCACUGAGAUGGCUUUAUAUGAAGCUUUGUAUGGGAGGUAAUGUAGAACUUCUAUUUGUCAGAAUGAGGAGGGUGACAGGAAAUUAGAGAAAGUACAAAGUAUCCAAGCAACAACCUAGAAGGUGAAUAUGAUCUGAGAAAAGUUGAAGAUGGCCUUCUCUUCCGACACUAGGCGGGCAUGACGAAUUAUGGUAGAAAUCAACCUAUCACAGUGGGCAGCGUGGAAUCAACUAAACGAAGCAAAGCACUGAUUCCAAUAAUAUUGGUAGGCCUUUGAGAGACCACCAACGUGUCCCCGGUUAGCUAGAGCAGGGGCAAGGAGUCUGCCAUCUUCCGACACGCUGUCCCUGGUCUAAAAAAUCUUGUGCAAUGUCAAAGAAUCUCCAUGGCUAGGACUGGAAGGCACGCCCUGAUCAAAUCCAAGCUGGCGUCUGACCUAUAAGGAGAGUAAUGCACAAAAGCCUUCGAAUGAUCAUCACCUAAUGUCGAAAAAGGAAGGCAUGCAACGCUUAACAACGCUUCUCUGCAUAACCGACAGCCUUGUGCUGUCGUUGCCAGGGCCUCGACCAGGCCAUCAGAAUCAGCAUAGAGGGGUACACAUCUAAAUCCCUUUGAUAAAGCACAAUAAGGACGGAAGAUGAAUUUCUCAACGUCAUCCAGCAGCUCCAUAAAAUUUUGGCCCUUUCUUUAUAUUCGCCGAGACCAUUUACAGAUCAAAGGGAGACUCUCCGGCAUGUAAGAGCCCUCAUCAGAAUCAACAAGUGACUUAGCCUUGGAAUAGGGAAGCGGAGACACCUCUAUCCCUUUGAAGUGCUCCUAUAAGAAGACUUGCAGAAAGCUGGAGUUCAAGAAUGUUUCCACAACCAUGGUUCCUACCGCCCCUCUCAUAAGAAACUGAACCUGGUCAAGCAAUCGGUAUAGGUGCCCUAAGAACAUGGGGGCUAGAGGAAUCAUGCUGCCCCGUGCUAUCGCCAAGGCUAGCGGAAACACCCGCUUGUGCAAGCAGUCUUCAGAAAAAUCACAGAAGAGGAAUCUCCUAAGCCAUAAUGAUACGAAUGCAGCAAGAUGACACGGCCCAUUCCGGUUACCAUCCCCAAAAAACUGAAUACAAUUGCUAAACUGCAGGGAAGUGCUAGGAGAAGUCGGGGCACCCUUCCGUAAGGCCUCAAGCUUUAGUUCAUCCUCUAGAGUCGGCACGAUGUGGAAAGGAUCUUGGCUGCCACAAAGUAGAAGAUGGAAAAUAUUGGCUACAUCCUCAGGUGUGGGAGUAAACUCCCCCCAUGAACAGAUAAAAGUGUGUGUCUCAGUAUUCCAUCACCUAACCACAUGCCGGAGCAUUCUGGCUUAGAAACAAAGAUGGCGUCCAGCACCCCUGCCCGGUUUAGGAUAUCACAGGUAGAAGGAUCCUUCAACUCGCGGUCAACCCACUCUGACCAACCCUUGCUAGUGCCACAUGGAUAUUGAAAGAACAAGGGGACUGUUUGAAAUAAGCCUCUCUCUAUACAACACCUCAAUACGGAUGAAGGAGCAAUUACUGGAGUCACUUCCGGCGCUGGCUUUCCAUCGAUAAUUACGUCUUCAUUAAUGCUCUUAAGCAAAGGAGGGGACCUCCCCCUCUUUAACCUGUCAUCUGUGGAGUAAAGAUGAUCCCUAAUAAUGGAUGAUGAAUCAAUGGAUGUCAUGGCAACUCUUGGCAAAACGACAAAUACCUGCACACGAAAAUGUGGAAAGAAGCAAAAUAAAAUUAGCACACGCAAGAUACAUAUCAAGCACGGCUAGUUGAGCUCAUCCAAGCGAACAUGAAAUUUAAAAUUCAAGCCCAUGACAAGUGAAAGUCUCAUUCUGUGGUUAACAAGCAUGACAAGCAAGUCCCUUCUCAAAACAGAAAAAAUAAAAAAUAAAAAAAAUCAGGCAGUACAAAACAUGCGCUUUGUCAAUUUCUAUUUUUCACAACAACACAAAAAAAUCCACUGUCAAUCAAGCAUGUGUUCACAAGGAGAGUGAACCUAGGCCAAGCACUAGUCCACACACAUGCUAAAAUGCCCAGGUUGGCAGAGCUGCUUACCAAAGGGCUAUGUUAGAGUUCUAAAUGUUCAAGCUAGGAGACCAGAGCGCUCGAGGUUUCGGCAUAAAGAAUGUCAGAGCUUCCUGCACCUACCUUUGCUUAUGCCAGAGAAGUCUAUACCUGCACAAUAACAAAAAAAAAAAAAAAAAGAGGGCACAUUGUGCAAAGAUCAAUCCUUUCAUAAGCACAGAAGAAGUCAAGGCAAAAUAAAAGGUGAGGAAAGGGAAAAGGGAGAAGCCAAUACCGCUAGUUUUCUCUCACGAGGUUCGGUACCCUUUUCCAGCAGCUGAUAAAAAGGAACAAAGCAAAGAAGAAAGAAACUUAGAAAAUAGCGCGGGCCCUUCCUUGCUAGUACCCACUACAUGAGCACUCCUGUUGCGGCGGUAACAAGAUGUGAACCCUUAACAUUACAUCGCAUCCCACUUCAAAUUCCAAAAUUGUAUGCAAUGUCAGAUGUGAUAUCAUUGUUAGGCGACAAGAUACACUCUCAUCGAACUUCAAAUUCCAAAGUCAUAUCUCCACGAAGCUAGUAAAUAGUUCACGAACCAAUAACGCCUUGUUGGUAUUGCCAAGCGAUGAGAUAGACUCUCAUCCACACUAGUGCGAGGCUCCAUACAUGUAUUGAUAUUUCAACAUCAUAUUCAUAAAAACCACAAUAAUUCCUUCCAUUAAAAAGCACAAGUUCUAUGCAUGCAGCCUCGCAGUAAUGUGGCAAGAUCAUCUUAAUCAAUGAAUGCCUUCCGCAACAUUAAGUACUUAAUAUGAGGAAGUAAGCUGAUAAUGGCUAACAUAUUUUCUCUUCUAAUUAAAGAACCCGAUACAUUUAAACGGUAAAAUUUCUUGCAGUGAAUGUAGAUAUGUGAAAUAAUUUACUCAAAAUUAUAGAUCGUUAAGUAGUUAACAUUCGGAAUAAUUUUAGGAAUAUUCAUAUUCCCUCUUAUAUCCCUUAAAGGAGUUGGCACAUCCCUUUUAAGAAAAUUCAUUCUGCAGCCCAUGCUGUACUCUAGAAGGAUCUCCUUGAAUAUAUGGCUGCCCUCAAGUGACAACAACUAUGCGAUGGUAAUGCAAAAGACGAGAGAAUUGACAAUUGAGGAUUCUUUUGCAUUACUGUCGCAUAGUUGUUGUCACUUGGGGGCAACCAUAAAUUCAAUGAGAUCCUUCUAGAGUUCAGCAUGGGCUGCAGAAAAGAUUUUCUUAAAAGGAAUGUGUCAACUCCUUCAAGGGAUAUAAAGGGAAUAUGAAUAUAUUCCUAAAAUUAUUCCGAAUGUUAACUGCUUAACCAUCAAUAAUUUUGAGCAAAUUAUUUUACAUAUCUACAUUCACUGCAAGAAAUUUUGUCGUUUAAAUGUAUCGGGUUCUUUAAUUAGAAGAGAAAAUGUGAUGACCAUUAUCAACUUACUUCCUCAUAUUAAGUACUUAAUGUUGCGGAAGGCAUUCAUUGAUCAAGAUGAUCUUGCCACAUUACUGCGAGGCUGCAUGCAUAGAACUUGUGCUUUUCAAUGGAAGGAAUUAUUAUGGUUUUUAUGAAUGUGACGUUGAAAUAUUAAUACAUGUAUGGAGCCUUGCACAAGUGUUGGAUGAGAGUCUAUGAGCCUUGCACAAGUGUUGGAUGAGAGUCUAUCUCAUCGCUUGACAAUACCAACAAGGUGUUAUUGGUUCGUGAACUAUUUACUAGCUUCGUGGAGAUAUGACUUUGGAAUUUGAAGUUGGACGAGGGUGUAUCUUGUCGCCUAACAAUUAUAUCACAUCUGACAUUGCAUCCGAUUUUGGAAUUUGAAGUGGGAUGCGAUGUAAUGGUAAGGUAGUAAGAUAGACUCUCAUUCGACUUCAAAUUUCAAAAUAUUCCUCAGUUCUCUCUUCUUUCUCAUAGUUAUUGUCAUUUGGGGGUAAUCAUAAUUUUGAGGAGAUCCCUUUAGAGUUUAGCAUGGGUUGCGGAAAGAAUUUUCUUAAAAUGAAUGUGCCAGCUGCUUGAAGGGAUAUAAGAGGAAACAAGAAUAUUCCUGAAAUUAUUACGAAUGUUAACUACUUAAGCAUCUAUAACUUUGAGCAAAUUCAUUUCGCAUAUUUGCAUUCACUGCAAGAAUUUUUGUCGUUUAAAUGUGUCGAGCUCGUUAAUUGAAAGAGAAGAUGUGUUGGUCAUUAUCAAAUUGGUUCCUCAUAUUAACUUCUUAAUGUUGCGGAAGGCAUUCAAUUAUCAAGAUGAUCUUGCCACAUUACUACGAAGUUGCAUGCAUAGAACUUGUGCUUUUGGAUGGAAGGACCUGUUUUUUUGGGCCUUGCCUAUGCUCAAAGUUGUCCCUCUAAACAAAUAUAGUUUCCCUCCAAUAUCUCUUUGCACUGCUCUUGCAUUUUUAAACAAACCAAAUCAGAAGAGAUUGAAUACGAACUCGCAAAAAUACUCUCAGAAGUAUAUUGUUAAGGCAAGAAAGUAAGUGAAUUUCGAAUUUGUGAAAUUUUUACUAACUUGGAAUCAGAGUGAUGACAGAUGACCCAUGAUUACCAGUAAUUACAAUAUCACCCAUUUAUCAUGGAAUCUCAUUCUUGAAAAAUCAGGGUGUGAUUAUUGAUUUUAUGCGAGCCCUACUCUUAUUUUGAUUCCCAAAGUACUAGUAAAUAUUGGAAUGACCUUGAAUGAGAGCUCCCAUUCUCUGUUAGUAAACAUGCCUUCUGGUUAUAGAACAGAGGAACGCACAUAAAUCAUGAAGAAACAUGGGAAUCUUUUCUUCAAGCUUCUAGAGAUAUAGUGGUAACUCAAACUUUCAUGAGCAAAUUCUUGUCAUCUUUUUCGUACAUUUCAUCAAAUUUUUUAUUCACGACCUAUUUGGCAAAGCCGACUUGUGAUUGAAUGGUGCGACUUGCUUUUGAAACUGUGAUAAGUCUAUGAUCAUAUGUAAUAACCCAAACCUAAAUUAAUAUUUAAUUAUUAAUUUAUUAAGAGGAAAAGACAAUUUUGCCAUUGGAAUAAUUUAUUAAAGAAAAGUUGACUUUUUGACUGAGAAGGAAUUUGAGAAUUCCACACACACUGUUGCGUAGAGCACGACGAAAUGAGUUUGUAGACACGAAGUGGGCUCGAAUCGGAGCUUUAACGAAGAAAAUACGGUUAAAAUACUACGAGGGGCAAAAUGGUAAUUUGAAAAGUCAGAAGUUUAAAACCUCACUUCUCUCUCUUCUCCCUCAGUCUCUCUCUCUCUCUCUCUCUCUCUCUGCACGCUUCCUUUUUCUUUGCGAUAAACCCCAAUCCGAUCGGAUUUUGCGGCGCCGUCGCACCACCGACCACCGCUCACGCCAUGAUCAGACUUGAUCAAACCGCCGUCGCUCCCCCGUCCUUUCCCGACCAGCCCCGCCCCUGGAACCACUGGAUUCCGUCAGAAAAAGCCCGGAAUCGCGCCGGUUUUGACAGAAACUUCGCUGGCUAGGUUCGUCUUCGUCCGGCCACCAUUUCCAACUAUCCAUGUAUGGAUUCUGAACCUCUCGAGCUGUUCUAGCCUGUUGGGUAGGAUUCAAUCGAUUCUCAGCGUAGGUAAUUCGAUUUGCGAAUUGAAAUUUGGCCGGUUUUGGGAUCUCGAUUCCGGCCACUUCCGGUCAGUUUUUGGGGUAGAUCCAAGAACAAAAGUGGCUCCAAAUAGGGUGUUAUACUUAGGGUAGGAGUCUUGAGCCGUGGUUUUGAGAUUUUUCGGCGAUACGUAAUCGCUUUGGGCACCCAGCGCUGCCGGCUUGUGUGGCGGAGCGUGGGCGAGGGUAGUGAAGUGUCAGUGUGCCUCGAUGAGAUCCUUAAGUUGUCACAAGCGCGUAGGAAUUCGUGGAUCUCAAUUUGGAUACCGUUUGAGCCUCAAACGAAUUUUACAUACUGUGCGAUUUCCGGGUUCAAUACUGUUGAGCCGUUGGAUCGUAAUCAUUUUCAGAUAUGUUAAUUUAGACAAUUCUAGGAUCGUUUAGGAUUCGACGGAUUGUGAAUCGGAGUUUCGGAUACUCCGAAAUCACGAACCCUAAGGCUAGGAUUUAGAAAUCGUGCGAUUGUACGAUCGUGAUCAAUCCGACCGUCCGAUCGAGACCAAACCAUCGGGACAUGUGUCCUAAGUAUAUUGGAAGUUCUAGAGGCUCCCGGAUCAUAAUUGCGAGGUCAUGGACCCAUGGGGUCCCGAGUUGACUUUUUGGGACUUUAGCGCUUUUUGAGUCCUAAGAUACUGCUGAACUAUUCCAAGUGGAAGAAAAACUUUUAUAGGCAUAGGAACAACUUUAAUCUGACGCACGUACUUCUAGGAGCCGGGGGUCAGGGUUUUAAAUUAAUACUAUAUUGUAUUAAUAGAAUAUUAUGGUCAUUGAAUCAGGCACCCGGGCACCAGUUGACCCGCAUGAGGGACCUUCAAGAGUUCCAGCGAGCACGGACUACCAGUGAGUGGACUCUUUGUUUUUAUAAAUGAAUUUAAGCAGUUCAGUUAUAGUUAUUGAUCUUGAAUAAGUUUUAUUAAAAGAUUAGUGUUUUACAAGCUUUUAUAUGCUUUUAAAUAUUUUGUUCUGCAUGCUGCCGAGUGACAUAUCCUUUAAAGGAUACAGGAAAAGAAAUUCUAGUUAAUUAUCAGAUUAUCAUAUAAAUGGUAGCAGAGUUUUAGAGUUUAUAGGAAUUCAGUUAUUCAGCAGAUUUUCUUCAGAAACUUUAUAUUUUCCUAAACCACCUUAUACCCAGAUAUACAAAUGUUGCCUAUGGUAAAUAAGUUGCCUUCAGAUUACAUGUUGCCUUCAGAUUGUAUUGGUUGUCUUUGGUUUAGUCAGCAUGUUUGACAGUUGCCCCACGAGUUCUUUGGUACUCGAACUCGUGUGGAGCGAGUAAUGCGGAUCAGGUGGGCUACGGUCUCCUGAAUCCUACGAGUUGCGGCUUGGACUGACCUUGUGUCACUGAGACCUGGGAGUACGUAUCACCCAUGGUGAUGCAAGGAAUUGACGGAUAUUAGGAAUUGACGGAAGUAAAGGGUACACCUAGGUGGUAGUUUUAACCUGUUUUCAGUGCCUUAAGAAAUUAAUAUUGACCAUGAGUAUGAUUGGCUUAUAUACAUGUAUAAUUAUAUACGUGCAUUGAUUUCAGAAAUAAAGAGAAUAAUUUAGUUUGUAUAACUGUUUUUACAGUGGGGUUAGUAUGUUUAUAUGCUAUUUUCUAAACUUUGUUUUUGGGUCCACUCACCCUUUUUAAUGUUUUGCGCCCCCAGGUAGUAGGCAUGCACAGGGAUCCACCACCGGGCCGUUUUCCACCGUCCGCACUUUCCUUUCUGAUGUAGGACUUUUGUUUUGUAAAAGGAUUGACUCCUUUGUAAAUUCUCAGUAGUCGCUCUGAUGUUUUGCCCUAGACUUAGAAUUGAACUGUUGGAAUGUAUAUAUACGUAUGCUGGCAGUUGGUUGUAUAUAUAUAUAUAUAUAUACUUGUUUGGCAGGUGUAAAUGUUUUGGUAUUGACCUAGUUACAAGGGAGACUCUGCCGAUGUUUCGGUAGAAGUCAACCUUGUUAUUUUAUCGUGCUUUGUAUAGAAGGGCAAUUAGGUCAUUCGUGCCCGACAUCCGUCAGGUGUCGGACACGCACAGGGUCCGGCUCGUAUUCCAAAGCAGAAUUUGGGUCGGGUCUUGUCAUCAUAUAUCAUGCGUCAAUAUGUUGGAAAAAUAAGUGGGGAAAAAUUGUAUGUUCUUAUAGGUUGAAAAAUAAGUUGCAUAAAUAGUAAUUGUGUCAUAUAGCAUUAUUAAUCUAUGUGUUACAACAUGAGUGAAUUACUAACACCAUAUGACACUAUGGUCAAAGACAUAACUAUGUUUAGGCUAGAGGUUGUUGUGGCCUCCAAAUAGUUUAAAGCCCAUAAUUUCAAUAUGUUAGGGAAAAUACUUGCAUUCUUCCCUGAAAGUAGGAACUCCUACUUUCCUGCAAAUAAAAGUUUGGCAUGUGUGCAUAUAUUUUUCUUUUUGUGUUUUUAAUAAAUUACUUUUGCAUGUGUCAAACUGUAAUUUACAGAAAGGAGGAAAGUAGUGUCCAUAUGUUAGAGCAUUUCCACCAGUUGCCCCUUGCCAUGGCAAGAUGAGCCCUAGGGCAGCCACUAUUCACGUGAAUAGUGGCUGCCCUAGCCCCCUCUAGCAAAAUGUGUUUCCAGCAGUUGGGGCUUGCCAUGGCAAAUACUAUUCAUUUUUUUGUUUUUUUUACAACUUUGUGAUAAUAUUUUCGGAUAAGAUUUUUGGGUUCCUACGUGUCAAUACUAUUCAUAUCGGAUAAGAUUUUCGGUUUCAAAUUUCAGAUACAUUUCAAAAUUCAAAUUUCAGAUAAAUUCAAAAUGUCAAAUUUAAGAUACAUUUCGAAAUUCAAAUUUCAUAUAAAUUUGAAAUUUGAAAUUUCAUUUGAAUUUCAAAUUUCAGAUAAGAUUUUCACCCUCUAAGAUUGCGCCGCGUGUCAUAUCUAUCUGUGUACAUUUUUCUAUAAAAUCAGAGGUUCAGCUCAUACCUCCCACACCAGUUCUUCUCUACACUUCCAUUUCUCAAAUUUUAGAUUUCAUUCGCCAUUCUCAAUGGCAGACAUGGAAGAGGUUUUGGAGAGGCAAGAGCGAGAAACUAGAGAAAGAAUGCGUAGACGAGCUACAAGCAAAAGGGCGCAAAGAGAACUAGAUGAGCAACUUGGCAUAGCAGUUGCUUUGCUGGAGGAAGAAAACCAGGGUCGCCUUGGUUCACGAGAAGGCCGUCGCCCAAAUAUGGACAGACAUAGACAUUCUCGGGGUAAGAAUCUUAUGGAAGAUUAUUUUAUCCCACAAUCUCUGUACUCUGAUGUUCAUUUUCGAGGGAGAUAUAGAAUGCAACCCCAUUUGUUCAAUAAAAUCAUGCAUGAUAUUUGCAAUUAUGAUGAAUAUUUUGUUCAAAAGAGAAAUUGUGCUGGAAAUUUGGGACUUCUUCCACAGCAGAAGUUCACAACUGUGAUACGAAUGUUGGCGUAUGGGUCAUCUGCUGAUCAGGUGGAUGAGAUUGCUCGGAUGGGGAAGUCCACUGUUUUGGAGAGCUUGGUGCGAUUUUGUGAUGCAGUGGAAACUCUGUACACUAGAGACUACCUCCGCAAACCUACGCCCAGGGACCUGCAAAGGCUUCUCCAAAAAGCUGAGUCUCGAGGAUUUCCUGGCAUGAUUGGUAGCAUUGACUGCAUGCACUGGCAGUGGAAAAAUUGUCCAACUGCUUGGCAAGGGGACUACUGAAAUAGAAAAGGGCAGAAAAGUAUCAUCCUGGAAGCAGUUGCUGGUUUUGAUACAUGGGUUUGGCACGCCUUCUUCAGAGUUGCCGGAUCUCAAAACGAUUUGAAUGUCCUAGGUCAAUCCCCGGUGUUCAAUGAUGUUUUGAGAGGUGAAGCCCCAAAUAUCACAUAUGAAAUUAACAAUACCAUCUACCAGAACGGGUAUUAUCUAGCUGAUGGCAUCUCCCCGAGGUGGACAACAUUUUUGAAAACAAUUCCACAUCCCCGAUCCCAUAAGCAAAAAAUUUUUGCUCGCUAUCAAGAGGGGUACAGAAAAGAUGUUGAGAGGUGCUUUGGUAUCCUUCAAGCUCGGUGGGCUAUUAUCAGGGGCGCGGCAUGUCUAUUUGACGAGGAGGUGCUUAGGAGUAUAAUGAUGACUUGUAUCAUCCUCCAUAACAUGAUUGUGGAAGAUGAAUAUGAUUACGAUGCUGAUGAUGUGUAUGAACCAAAUCCCAUGGAUACGGCCCUAACACGAAUUUAUGAAAAACCAGUGGGGCCAAAUGGAGAACCAGUGCAGCAUGAACCGUUGGUUAGAGACGGUAGUUUCAUGCCCCUUAUGAUUGAUCGCUACACGGAGAUGUAAUCGUCGUAUAUUCAUGAACACCGUCAAGUUGACUUGAUGGAGUAUUUAUGGGCGGUGAAAGGCAAUGAAGAAAAUGAAGGUGAAUGAAGUGAAGUGAAGAAGUUGUUUUUAAUUUAUUAUGUUUAUGUUGUAUGUUGUUUAUUUUUUGUGCUUUGGUUGUGGGUUGUUUAUUUUUUAUGCUUUGGUUGUAGGUUGUUUAUUUUUUAUGCUUUGGUUGUGGGUUGUUUAUUUUUUAUGCUUUGGUUGUGGUUUGUUUUUUAUGUAUGGAAUGUGGGUUGUUUAUUUUUUAUGCUUUGGUUGUGGGUUGUUUAUUUUUUAUACUUUGGUUGUGGUUUGUUUUUUAUGUAUGGAAUGUUUUGAAUAAAAAGGAUUUUUGUUGAAUAUUUUCUUUAUUGACUAAAAGAAAAGCAAUACAACUAAUAAAAUAAAAUACAUGAAUUAAACAAAACAAAAAAUACAAUGAAAUCAAAGGCAAGUAAACUAAGACAUGAAAGGCAAACAAACUGUUUUAAUGGUUUCCAUCAUUUAACCAAUCCGUGUUGCUAGGUCCAUCGUCACGAAAAAGUCUUCGUCUCAUAACAUCCCUUCGUUCUAGCUUCCAAAAUUGUUUUGUUUCAGGGGACAUAUGGCUUGUAUCCAUGGCCAUGGUUUCCCGAUCUUUUUUUUCAAUGUUUUGUUCGCGUACAUACUCCCUUUCUUUGCGUACAUACUCCCUUUCUUUUGCAUAUUCGACUUGAAUAGCCAUAUCAUGCUCUUGUUGUUUCAAGUCCAUUUCAAUUCUCAUGGCUUGGUGCUUUGAAAGUUCCUCCAAAAAUUUAGAUGCAUUCUUGCUAGAAUUACUCCCUCUAUUCGCCUUCGCCGCCUUUCUCCCAAUAGGCCUUGGCUCCUUUUCAAUGGGUGAGUCUUGACUCAUUGGGGAAUUCAUAGGUGAAUCCGAUGCCCGCGUCUCAUGAAGUGGAGUCUCGUUCAAGACUACCGUCGGACUGGUUGGAAUAAUUUGGAAUCUCUUACAAGUCUUCACCACCUCCCAACAAUGGGUAUGGUUGAAACUUUUUUUCCCUUGCCCCGUAGCACCAAACCACAUUUGAGCUUGCAUAAUCUAUAAAAAAAAUUAAUGAAAAUGCAAGAAACUUUAAAAAAUAUUGGCAAUGCAACAUGUAAAAAAAAACUAAUGCAAAUUCAAUAAAUUUAAAAAAAAUGCAACAUGUAUAAAAAAAAACUAGAGACAUAUUAACAAAAUAUAUAAAUUGCAAGAAACAUUUAAAUAAAAAUUAAUAUGACAUAGAAAUUAAUAGAAGGAAAAUGACAAAUAAUUUACCUCACUGCUAAGGUUUUUUCCGCUUCGAUGCUUGUCCAUCGCUUUUGCUAAGGCAUUUCUCCAUUUCGCCAACUCUUUAUUAAGAACUUUUCACCUACUGGAUAAUGUCAUUUCUGUACGUGUAGAACCAAUUGCCCUUUCACAAAAUGCUUGAUGAAUUUUUUUCCACAUAUGAGAAAAUUUCAUCUCAUUGCCCGUUACGGGACAAUGACUAACUUGGACCCAAGCCUCACACAAGCUAACAUCUUCCAUCAUGCUCCAUGCCCCUCCAUUUUCAUUAGAAGAACCCAUAUUAUGAUAGAAAAAAAAAUACAACUUCAAAGUGAAAAAAUAUUGAAUAGAAAGUGAAUAAAUUUUGAGGAGAAAGUGAACAAUAGUAGAAGGAGAAGAAAAUAUAUGAGGAUUUGGUGUUAAAAGUGAAGAGUAUUGGUUGGUAUUUAUACACAAAAAAUUCAGUAAUUUUUGUGUAUAUUUUUUAUAAAAAAAAUUAUAUUUUUUUUCAAUUUUUUAUUGCAGAAAAAUUGGCUGCCGUUGGAUUGAAGAAAAAAUUCGAAUCGGAGUGACCAGAGGCUGCCACGUGUCAAGUAGCUGUUGGCGGCUACUGUAGCGGUGAAUUCGAAUUUUUUUUAACGUUGGCGCGUGCUUCGAAUUCCGGAGGGCUAACGCCAGCCUGGCGUCAGCAAUGACGUCAUCGCCCUCGGGCCCGAACUCGGGCCGAAAUCGCCUUCGGGCCUGCCUAGUCUGGUGGACCCCACGCUUGCCCAGGCUGCUUCUUCACUGCUGGACCUCCUUUUUUUGCCCAAACCCCCCCAGCCCGAGUCCACCUCCUCUGCUGGACUUGCUCUUAGUUUCUAAAUAUUAGAGGCAGUUGUCUUGUUUUAUGUUAAUGUCAUUCGAGUAAAUUAAUGACGACAUUACAUUGCUUAUUUCUUUGCUGAUUGUCAUUGGUCCAGUGUACAUUGCCUAUUUCUUUGCUGAUUGUCAUCGAUCCAGUUGUCUCAUUAAUAUUGGUCCACGUGUCUUGUUUUUAUUUGGAUUUGUUAACUUCCAACUAAUUAAUAAAGAUUAAGAUAGAUCACAAUGUGGCCAACAGGACCCAGUGUAAAAAGGCAUUGAUUUGCAGGCCAGAUAUAUCAAGUUCGAACUUCUAUGACAUCUUAGUUUUGUGUGUGAGAAACCCCCUCUCCACCAGUUUAGAACAUCGCUUAUACUAAAAACAAAGAUAGAUCACAAUUUAACUGGGAAAAGAAUGAAAACAGAUCCUAUCGUGAUUUUCAAAAAGGUAGAACGUAGAAACUAGUCUAUAUUCAGUUACCAUAGAAGCUUAAUUAUAGAAAACCUAGUUUCACUUUCUACCCGUCUACCUUGUAGACAAAAGAGACAAUUUAAUUUGUUUUCUUUACCAGAGCAGCCGUACCCCAUUCUAUUGAAUUUUUGAAUUGAUAUUUGUAGCUUUUUGAUAAUUUAAAAUAAAAACAAGGAAACAAGAAUGGAGUCGUUCUCUAAAUAGUAACUUCAUUUAAGUUUAAUAAAAUAAUCAUGUGACUAAUAUGAAUGUCUACACGAAGAGUCCAUAUAUGACACCCUCACUAUAGAAUUUCGCAACGAGAAUGAGUGCCUCCACUGAGGAAGGGCUACUCAUAGCGAACAUUGCCCCCCACAAGGUAAACAAAAGCCCUAGAAGCUGCCAGGUAGCCCUAACUACUUGCGUACAAUGACUUGGGCCACUUGCCAAAUACAUUAGCACAAACAACUUACGGACCAGUGAUAACUAGACUGUUCAUAAGAAUUGGAGAAUCCUACCACUAUCAUAGCAGCCAUUCGACUUGCACUCAUUGCUCAACACAAUUUACUCACAAUUUCUUCUCAUGCAUAUCAUGCUAGAAUAAAGCAGAGUAUUGAAUUUUCUGCACAUCAAGCGGAAACAAUCUAAUAAUUUUCAAGCCAGGUAGAAUUUCACUGAACCAAGUUUGACUUUGCAACUUCUGAUACACAACAUAAAUACCACCACCAAGACAGAAAUCAAUGAUCGCUAUUUCGAAACCAUGUUAGACAAUUAGGACAGCAGGAUGUCGUCCAAAGACCAGAAAUUGAUUGCAUGCUGUUUUACUGAUUAGCUGUUGGCAUCGCAAGUCCACUAGCGGUCCAUAAUCCUAACACCAUCCUUUAGAAACAAUCUGAAGGACUAAAUUGAAAUAUUGCCAAUUACUAGCUUCAAUAAUUGAGAUCCCAAGCAUGGGUGAGCCGACUCAAGUUUCAUCUUCACCUUCUGAAAGCAAGCAAUCUUGUAUUUGUUCCCUGAAAGAAAACAUAAAGCAAUAGGGAAAAGGCUGAGUUAUGAUUGUAGCUCUCUCUCUCUCUCUCUCUCUCUCUCUCUCUCUCUCUCUCUAGCUACACAAAGGAUACCAAAAGAGGUCAUUGGCAUCCUCUAGAGAAUGCCAAUUCCAUAAGUUUCUGAUAAUCUUGAAAUUUCGGUUUGAAGUUUUGUGGCACAAAAUGACAAAGACAAUCAACUUUUAAGUUCAUCUAGUUGUCCUAUGGUUUUCGUCAUUUUGAGUUUAACACAUCAAGUGCAUGUGCUUAAUUAAACCCACAGCAAGAACAAGGUUUCUUCAUAGCUUCUAAGGAAUUUUGAAAAUCGAAGCCAGCAGGUAAACAUCAUGCAUGAUUAAUAAGUGUAGUAUUUCACCUGAUGGCACUGCAAUGGUCAAGGUUGUCAUGCUUUGCUCGGGCAAACAGUUGCUCAGGUAAAAGAGUGUACAACUCAUUUACUGAUGAGGGGUCUUGGGGAAGUAUUUGGAACUGGCAGCUUGAACAGCAAACAGAACUUGUUUUGUGACUCUCCAGGUUCUUCAAACUUAGCAAGUCAGAUCUGCUGAGUGGGCUAUUGCAGAUAAAGCAGAACGACUCGGAGGAAAAAGAUUCAUUAGGUUUAAGGUUAUAUCUCUUCUGACGCCUUCGAGUUGCCAAAAGAACAUUAGAGUCAUCAAUCUCUUCAAUUUUGUUGAAAUGAAAUGGGAUAAGCUUUCCAGCUGUUCUCAUAAUUGUGCACUCUCGAGAAGGAUUUUCUUCCUGGAAAACAAAAGUUCAAUUUGACUUGCCCAGCAAGUUCUUUAAAUGUGUAUUUAACCAAAGGGAAUUACUUGUGGAGUAAGAAUGGUAUUGAUACAUGCUUUUGUUCUCAAGUUCUAUUUGAAAGAAACUUCAAGGUAAAACUACUGCCUCUAAUUAGCAUAUGUGUUUCUAACUAAAGGAAAAUUUACUUUUGCCGUAAGACCACAUUUAUGCAAAAAGCACAUUGUUUUCAAACGUUGCACAAUUUUAACAUUUAAAACUUACCUUAUCAACUUUUGGUGAUGUUUUUUUAAAAUUGAAUCCACAUAAGACUCCAAUUAGCUAAACAAUCAUUAACCCUUAAUUGUGUACCCUCCCAUCUUGUUGAAGAACAAAGCAAUAAUGGCUCUUCAAGUGCAUACUUAACUUUACUAGUGAAGUUAUUCUCAGUAAAAUCUGAUCUCCAAGGCUGCUCUCUAACAAAUAUUUUCGAUCAGUCAUAAAUGAUAAGAGAAACUGGGCCCACUUUGUACCUGCAAAAGUGUCACAAAUGAUGAGACCAAGCCAUUUAUGCCAGUGCAAGGACUUCUUAUCAACUCCACAGUUUUUAGACUGCCCUCGCAAGAUGAGAGAUCAGACACAAUUCAGUAAGGAAAACAAAAUUCUCUAUGAAGCUAAACCAAAAUGGCAUAAAUUACAAACCCAUCAAGGCGGCAAAGCAUGGUCAGCUCUUUGGCAAGACAAUCGCGAAGGGGAAGCACAACUGGGAUCUCCCACCUUGCAUCAACAUACUGUACAUCGGCUGGUAACGAAUAUCCUUGGCCCUGUUAAAAUCAAGUACAAAUAAGAUAUAUCAAAAUGCCUUUCGAGCUUCAACAUAAAUUUGAGAAAAGACACCAUUGAUACCAAUGGUCUUUCAUUCCACAAAUCAUGUGACCUUCCUACAGAAUUCAGACUAAAAUUUGAACCAAAUGCAAUAGUGGAAAGUUGGUUUCCAUGGAAAAAAGGUAUCAUAUAAAGGAGCACAUUGCUACAUUCCUGUCACAACAUCUAUUAUCUGAGAUGAUAUUUUUCUAGGUUCUUUGAUAAUAACUGAGAGUUACUCAUAAAUAUUGUUUGAAUGAAGAGGAGAAAUCAGUUUACAGCUUCGACAUCAGAGAAGAUGAAAUAAUCUCGACAUAAACAACACCUUUCUAGAGUGUUAAGUGCAACUGAUAUUCCACAAGACAGAGUCGCAAAUGUAUGUAACACAAUUGCAUGAAGCAAAACCUAGAUUCCUGUGAAAAGGAUUAAUGUAACCAAAUACCAGUAAUUAGCCAAGUAUCUCAUUGAUCCAUGUACAGGAUUACCAGUCAUUAUCGGUUUAAAAGCCAUUUUCUUGGGGACAAAACUAUCUCUCAAAUCAAAUGCAGUCAAGGCAAUGAAUAUUAUAAUCCACAACAUUCAUUACAAAUAUCAUGAAUUAGUAAAAGAAUCUAAUACAUUCACUAGAGACAGUAAGCAGUUUUAUCUUCAGGGAAAUGAGCAUUCAACUUAAGACACUAAAAAAAAACCUUGACAGUGGCUGAAAUAACAUGGCAGGCAAUCCUCGAUACGCAUGACCCCAGUAGAAGUCUGUUGUAUCCAUUUUGAGAGGCAACCUGCACCAUAAACAGAACAUUCUGCAUAAAUUAAUUUUGCUGCCCUUAAUUGUAUGUUUUGACUUGAAAUAUAUAUAUCAAGAUCUGAACCUUUUGCAAGGCCAACAUGCGUAGAUGUAAUAAGAGAUCUUCUCUCCCAGUUGCAUCACCAACAGCAUCCAGUAACUUCUUUAAUCUCUCCCUUCCAUCACCAGAAUCUGAAGAGUAGACACUUUCAAUAGGUACAAUAUACAACUCCUUUGAUGGCGGGGCUAGAUUUUCCACUAUCAAUCUAACGUCUCCAAUUACUUUGUCGGUUUCAUUAGAGGGGGCAGAGUAAACAGAACUUUCAUCAACAAAUGCAACUCCAACACCGAAAACUGGCAACGAUCUAUCCCUACAUGCAUCGAAAUUCUUCUGCGCUUUACUAUGCAUCUCAUGUACAAACUGCAAGGCAACCCUGAAACCAAAAUAACAUUUUUUUUUUUACGUAUUUCAAAAAAUCUUAAGUCUGAAAUUUACAUACAACAACGUUUCAGUAUAUAUCUUUUAAAUUGCGGAAAGGCACUUUCUAACAUUCUAUAAUCCACCUUAUGCACAAAAUUCAUUACACAUACAUAGAAUUCGACUCAUUUCAGAAAGAGGGAAUCUAUAAAUUGAUCAAAUUUCUUCGUUCUCUUACUACAUGACGCACAAUUUGUGAUUAAAAUCGAAUCAAAUGAACAUCCAAGAGUGAUCGAGAGACGGACCUGGAAGAAGGGCCACCAGAGAAGGCAACGAGGACAUUAUCGGUAGGAGCAAUCAUGGCGUUGGAGGUCACAGCGAACCUGAACUUCCCGAAGAGAUUGCCGCGGAAGCAAUCGAUGCAAAAGCGUGCAUCGUCACCACCGUCGCUAUUGGAAGAGAUAGGUUGGUUGGCCUUGCACUUCAGACACAAACCACUGUUGCUGUUGUUGUUGCUGCUGCUAAUAUUAGCAGCAAAUGAAUUGGUAUUGUUGUUGGCUUUAACAGCUUCUUCUUCCUGCUGGGUUUUGUAGCAAUUUGACUGGCAAGCUGAAGCACUGCACGCCAUGCUUAUUUCUCCCUCUCUCUCCCUCAGCUGAGCUCGAGAACUUAGUAGGGUUUUUGUUCUAAGAAUUUUUUAACUUGGGAGACACAAAAGACAAAGAUAACGGGUCAUGGCAGGUGUGGGUCAUAAAAGCCCGUACCUCAAACGAGCAUGGUCCUAUAAAACCUAACCCAUUUAUUUGACCCGCCCACACCCUUUUUGUUUAUUUUCUGUUUCUCAGUCUCUCUCUCUUUCCCAACUUCGAAGCUUCAACAGGUAUGAUCAUACUGCCUGUCUCUCUCUUUGUUUUCUGAAUAUCUCAUACUUCAAUUCAAGCAGAGAAACACAUGGGCCACCACAUUGAAGCUUUUAUUUCUGUUUUCCUGUUUUUUUCCUCUAAUUUUUUUCGUGGGUUGUUAGGAAAGGAAACGUUUUUUGGGUUUGCCGUCUUUUCUAAAAUCAUUGCUUUUGUUCUACUGGAAAUUAAUGAAAACAAUCAAUGACUGUGAAUAAGCGCUGGUGUGUGGUUUCUGUGUUCUUUCUUCCCCUUGGAAAAAAAAAAUAGCCCGUCUCCCAAAUUCGUCACUAGGGGUGCGGAGGCAAGGUAUUAUUUACGAGCUGGAAGCUUGCAACUAGUUUUGCAUUGCUGGGUUUUUCUCCUUUUUAUGAAAUAGAAAAAAAGGGAUUAUCAAUUUUAGUCCUUUCUUCUCCCCCUUAAUAUUCAAUCCUGAAGUUUAGUGUUGUGGUAAACAUUCUUGUAUCCAAUAUGGUUGUUAAUGCAGGCGUCUCUUAAAUCUCAAACUAAAGUUUGUAUGGAUAAGCAGUAGUCGCUGUAUAUUGAAAUGCAAUUCAUAUCUUUGUGGUUGAACUGUUGAUUUCGUUUUAUGUUGAAAGAUGCAUCUUUACUUUGUAGAGCAAGACACAUCGUUAGAAAGCUAAACAAGAGAAGAGCAUGGUGUUGCCAGAUGCUUCUGGGGAUGUGCUGUCAGAAAUGGACGUGGAUGCUUUCAGACGCCUGUUUCCUCUUCGUUUUUUUGAGACUCAUCUUGUUAAAUCUACACGACCUGAUGGCAGGUCACUGGCUGAAGCUAGAGAGACUUCUUCAGCCCUUGGUUAGCUAAAGCCUGAACUAGAAUCAAUAAUAUGGAAUUCACCAUUCUUCAUUUAUUUAGUUUUAACUUUGUUUAUGCAACUAUGAAUUUUAACUUUAUUUAGGCAUGUAACCUGAACCUUUUUUCGUUUUUAUGUAGGGGCUGUUGCAUCUGCUGAUGGCUCAGCAUUAGUAAAGAUUGGUUCAACUGUAAUUGCUUAUCUCUAUUUAACCAUGUGUCUUUUACACGCAUAAAAGAGAUAUAUGGUCUUAUAACUGAUGAGGUUUUUUUGGGUUUAGAGAAUGUUGGCUGCUAUAAAAAUGGAGGUCAUGACCCCUUCAAAAGAAUCACCGGAUGAGGGUUGCAUAGGUUUGACUUGCACUACUUGAUAAAUUUCUGUUGCUUCUUUCAACUAUAUGAUCUUGUUCUCUUUUAUUUAACUGGCUGUACACACUUCGAAUUUUUCUAUUUUCAGCAAUUGAUUUCCACAUGCCUCCAAUUUGCUCCCCAACUGUUAGGCCUGGCAGGCCAGCUGAGGCAGCACCUGUGGUGUCGAAGCAGUUAUCUGACACUAUUUCAAGGCAAGUCAAAUGUCUAUCUUGUUUUUCUUUGUUUCUCAGUUCUACAUGAAGUUUCUUUAGUUGAAUUUGUCAGUUUUGUUAGUUCUGUCCACAUUAGUAUAUCAUAGAUGGUUUGGCUGUGUUCCAAUUCUUAUUGUUUGUUGGACUUUUUUGUUUAUUAACAGUUCAGCUGUCUUAUCUAUUAUGCUGUAGUACAUAAUAGCAUUCACUUGAGCCCAUACACUUAUAAAACAACUCAUCCUACUAAAGUUGCUCUACUCGUGAGGAUCCCAACUAACAUUUUGAAAGGAAACUUGUACUCAGAAAUCAACUUUUCCACUUAUCUUUUUGGUGGACACUGGCUUUAGUUAUAUUGGUUUCUGUAUUUGAACCCAGAAGCGUUUUAUGUUGGUGUCGAUAUCUUUGUAUGGUGAAAACUCUCAUCAAAGUUGGCUUUGCCCUAUUUAAAGUUGAUGCUUCAUUUGAUGUUUUCAGUUUGGGAAAUUACCAGUUAUCUUGGUUGUUGCAGUUGUGGCAUGAUUAAUUUGAAGGAGUUAUCCUUGAUCAGCAGAAAGGCUGCUUGGAUGGCCUACCUGGUAAUUACUUGGAAACUUGGAAAAUUCAUAGGUGUCCGUGCCUAUGGCAAUCUUUUUUAGUGUGUUUUUUUCACAGGGAUCGCUUUUGGUGAAUAGUAAAGAGGGGUCUCAUUAUUGGGGGACUACACAAUGUGGUUCAAUGAUCCAAACAGUCUAGUUUAUAGAUCCCAAUUUAAGAAUAAUCCCUGCAAAAAAUCAGCAAAGUCGGAAAUUGUUUAACCAUUUGAUCAUCAUUGUCAUCAUAGAUAUUUGUUGUUAUAUUGGAAACUUUGUGUUUGUCAAUUUUUUGUGACUAAAUGAUUUCCAAUUUCGGUGUUUUUUUAAUAUAAAGAUUAUCCUUAAAUGAGGUCAUAAAACGGUCUGGAUUAUCGGAUUGCAUUGAUGGUUGCACCCACCUGGGAUCCUUUUUGGUGAAUAGUGAAAAGGGAUCCCUCUUAAGAAGCUCCCUAUACAUAUUGAUAUAUAUAAGUAUGUUAUGAUAUUAUGAAGUAAUGUCUGAUUUGUCUACUGCAGGACAUAUAUUGUUUGGAUGCUGAUGGUGCUCUUUUUGAUGCUGCUUUGCUGUCAGCAGUUGCUGCCUUUUCUCACUGUAAGUGUUACAGCCAUCCCGUCAUGUGGUAUCCUGUACUGUCGUUCUGUCCCUGUUUAAAGAGUUGGCUAUGUAAAGUUCUGGUACCGCGAAUACAACAUAUGGAAUUACCAUAGUUGCCCAAAGUCCAACCUACCCCACCGUUAUGCACUUAGAGCCAGUAUAUUAUUCAAAAUAUCAGCUUUUAUACCAACCUAAAUAUGUGUAUAAAUGAAGGAAAGAAGGAAAGAUAUGCAUUUGAGAAAUAAAUCUGGAAAUUAAUCAAGUCCCAUUGAAGCUUAUGUUUAUUCAUAAAUGCCUGUUUUAAAUUCUCUCUCUGUGUGGAUUGGCAAAUCUUUUCUUGCUCAAUAUGAAAUAUAGAAACAAAACAUUUUCCAUGCUAUUUUAAAUAUAUAAAAAAAAAUAUAAUUGAUUUGUAGAGUAAAUCGAACUUGAAGAGCAUUUUGGGUCAUCCUAUAAUUAAUUCAAGUUUUAUUUUGGCAUCUAUAGUACUGUACAGUAAAAAUUGUGCCCCUACUUCUGUUUGAUUUUAGAACAUAGAUUAAAUCUAUGUUUCUCUAAUAUUUACAAUUCCAUUUUGACAUUUAUUUUGCUGUUAAAAGGAUUGUACUCCCUUUGUAUGCUAGAAAAAGAAGUUUAAUUUAGUUUUUUUUAAAGAACUGUAAGUCAUGCUUAGAAUUGUAAUUGAACGCUAACUGUGUUGUUCAGCAUCGUUCUGGUCAUAUAACUUUCAUGCCUUGCAGUGCAGAUUCCUGUAGUUUCUAUGAAUGAUGAUGGGAAAGUAGUGGUUUUGUCUGGAGAUCAUGGAGGAAAGGAGCCAGUCAAUAAAGGGAAGAGGAAACUCACAUUAAGCAGUAUUCCAUUUUCAUUAACAUGCUUGCUUCAUAAGAAUUACAUCUUGGCUGACCCUACCGCAGAGGAAGAGUCUGUAAUGGAAACUCUUGUAACUGUGGUUUUGGAUUCAUCUGGUCAACUUGUGUCUCUUUACAAGCCAGGUGGACCUGUUCUUGCCUAUACAUCAGCUAUCCAGGUCAAUUCUUAGUUUUCACCCUCAAGUUAUUAUUUUGACGGUACCCUGCAAAUUACACGUGGUAGGAGAUUAAAACUACAAAUUCCAUAGUUUGUUCCUGCAGUCUAUCUGCUCAACCAUGAUAACUGAAAGUAAAGAGGAAAAUGCAUAUCACUAUAUUGGAUGCUGGUUUUCAUGUUCAUAUUACAUCCAGGACUAAGGUUUUAAAACUGUUUUUGACAUCAAUUAUGUGCCUCGAUAGAAAAAAUAGAAGAGGAAAAGAGUGUAAAGUUCCAAUCCAUUUUUAGUUUGAAACAAUAAUCUAAAACUUGGUAACAUUUAGACAACCUUUUAAAUACCGGAGCUUUGUAGGGAAAAGCUUUAACUUUCGAAGGCUUGAAACUUAUAAGAAAUGCUCUCUUGCUAAAUUAUGAUCAAACUAUCUGGGUGAGUUAUUAUUUAUUUGUUUUACAUAAUUGUUCCAGUUUGCAAACACAGAAAGAUGCUAGUGGAGCGGUUUAGAUAAACUGCAUGUUUUAUCCUACAUAUUUUGUUGAAUACGUUUUUUUUUCAAUCAAGAAUUACUUCACCAAAAUAUGUUAAUAAGAACAAAACUGUGGCCUAAGAAAAGUACCAAUGAAGUCAUGAUUCAGAUACUUAACAGGAAGGCUCUCUGUGGUGCAGGAUUGUGUUGCACUGACUAGGCAAAGAGCGAGGGAGCUUCAAACGAUCUUAGAUGAAGUCACCUCCAGUAUGGAGGUUGAUUAGUUUUGUCCUUCAUCUCCUAAGGAGAUUGUGUUAUUGGUUUACAUCUUGGUUCUAUAUCCUUGUUUUGUGUUGAAAGUUGUUGCGCUGGAGGUUUCUGAAAGUUAGAAAUACUAGUCUUUUUCUUCUUCUUUUUAUAUGUGGAACUGCUCUGCUUUUUUGUUCAUUUUUCACAUUUUUAGAGCAAUUAGCAGAUGUGAGAAUUCUGGUUUCUUGAAAUUUUGAUGCCUUGAGCUACUUUCAGCAUGGGCAAAGCAUCCCGUUGCAAAGCUUGCCGUGUGAUACUCAUUACUCACUACACGCAUUGCAGAUUGGUUAGAAUCUAGAACUAAGGUUGUACUUGUCUUGUCUUGCCUCUUUCAAAAAGGAUGUAUGAAGGUUAAUGUGUAUUGAUGGUGCUGCCUGCCUGGAUGUAAGAUUGAUGCUGUUUUCAUCGCUAAUGUAACAUGUUUCUUCUUUAGUCAAAGUUAGGAAGGAGGAGAUUUUCUCACACACUGUUAAAGUGUUACAAAGAUUCGAAGUUGAAACUACUGGUAUGCAAGUCAAUGUCAUUUUCCACUGGGUUAGACCCUAUUGGUGUGUUUCUUUAGUCACAAGGAAGGGGAAAAAAAUAAAAACAAGUUUUUGUUGUCUUUUUUACCCAAAGUAACUUUUGAAAGAUGAAAAGUAGAGGAGGAAUUGGUGUCCCCGACCCAAGAAUAUGUGGCUUCAAGUUAAAGAUGUGGAGGCAAACCAUAGGUGCAAUCAUUGUCACUUAAUGUACGGGUUAUGGAGAUUGGAAUCACAGUAAGCAAAACUGGAUGAAAAUUAAACCCAACGAUUUACAAUCAUGAAGCUGAAGCUUCUACUCAAAAUUUUGAUAGAUCAUGUAAGAUGAAUACAACUUUUUACUCUAGGUCAAACUAUUUAAUAGGUUAUUGUUGCUUGCAUUGUCAUUCCUUAUUCUUCCUUCCAAAAGCAAACAAAGCUCAUGGUUUUACUAAAAAAAUAUGAAUGAAUGUUAAAGUAGGUUUAAUUUCUUAAAAUAUAUAUAUUUUUUCUACCAGAAUGUUUUUUGAAAGAUAAAGGACCUUAAUGUAUCAUUGUCUUGUCUUGUGCAGUUAAUUUUGAUAAGCGGGCUUGCAUUUUACUGUGAACUUUCUGUCUUCAAUCUUCAGUUUAUGCUUUAACUGCAUCAAGAAAGUAUACCAGAAAUGACAUGGACAUGGGUGAGAUACUUGGUCCCAUGGUUGUCACAGAAAAAUUAUCACCUCCUUUUUACAAAGAGACAAAAUUGAAUAGACAGAUUUUUUACACGCCGAUUGUGCAAAAUAAUGCUUGUGCUUCGUUCAAGCAAAGGAAACAAGGAAGGGAAUAUCUUCCUCUUUUUUCUCUCUCAUCAUCCACACUUUGCUCUCAAGCUCUUCAUGGUACUUUUGGAAAUCCAUUCCAACCAAUCAGAAUGCAGCAAACUCCAUCAGAAUGACCAAAACAGAUUAGAUAACUACACUCUCAUUGCCCACUUCUUGAUUCUCUGCCCUCAGCUCUUUCAAAACUAUACCAAAAUGAAACUCAACCUCAGAAAUAACUUCACUCAUAAUUCAUUGACUACCCAUCAAGCCACGUGUCCCCAACUUCCACCACUGGCCAUGAAAACCAACUGUUUCAGGGUCACUGGUUCCAAGUGUGCUCUUCUUCCCUCUGUUCUCCACACAAACUAUAAAACAACAAUCUUCAAAACCCCAAAGAAAAAGAAAGAAUAAGACCUGAAACUCAAGCUCAGGCACAAAACACAAUCACAGAGAGAGCUCUGCUUCUCUCUCUCUCUCUCUCUCUCUCUCUCUCUCUCUCUCUCUCUCUCUCAUUUUUCCACCCCUCAAUUUUGAAACAGAGGAGGUUCUGGUGGUGAGAUACAGAGGCUGAUUAACAAUGGCUUCUUUAGUAUCUUCACCCUUCACCUUACCCCACACAAAAGCAGACCAGCUUUCUUCGCUCUCCAGAAAGCAAUACUUUCUUCACUCAUUUCUCCCCAAAAAAGUCAACCAGAGCAGCUUAAAGUCCUCCCUCAAAGUGAAAUGUGCAAUGGGCAAUGGCCUUUUCACCCAAACCACUCAGGAGGUCCGGCGUAUUGUGCCAGAAAAUAAGCAAGGCCUCCCAACUGUGAAAAUUGUCUAUGUGGUCUUGGAAGCACAGUACCAAUCAUCACUCACUGCAGCAGUGCAGGCUUUGAACAGCAACAGCAAGUAUGCUUCUUUUGAAGUUGUGGGUUACUUAGUUGAAGAGCUUCGUGAUGCAGAAACGUAUAAAAUGUUCUGCCAAGACCUUGAGGACGCCAACAUCUUCAUUGGGUCUUUGAUUUUUGUUGAGGAGCUUGCUGUGAAGGUGAGGGAUGCAGUGGAGAAAGAAAGGGACAGGCUUGAUGCAGUUUUGGUGUUUCCUUCAAUGCCUGAAGUGAUGAGGCUCAACAAGUUGGGUUCUUUCAGCAUGUCCCAGCUUGGGCAAUCCAAGAGCCCAUUUUUCCAACUUUUCAAGAGGAAGAAGCAGUCUGCUGGCUUUGCUGACAGUAUGCUCAAGCUUGUGAGGACCUUGCCUAAGGUGUUGAAAUACUUGCCUAGUGAUAAAGCUCAGGAUGCUAGACUUUAUAUUCUCAGUUUGCAGUUUUGGCUUGGUGGGUCACCAGAUAACUUGCAGAAUUUCUUGAAAAUGAUAUCUGGGUCUUAUGUUCCUGCUCUGAAAGGCGAAAAGAUUCCAUAUUCAGACCCAGUUCUGUUCUUGGAUAGUGGAAUUUGGCACCCUUUAGCCCCUUGUAUGUAUGAUGAUGUGAAGGAGUACUUGAAUUGGUAUGGAACUAGGAAGGAUGCUAAUGAGAAGCUUAAGAGCCCGAAUGCACCAGUAGUCGGGUUGAUUUUGCAGAGGAGUCACAUUGUUACUGGGGAUGAAAGUCACUAUGUGGCUGUGAUCAUGGAAUUGGAGGCAAGAGGGGCUAAGGUGAUACCAAUUUUUGCUGGUGGGCUUGACUUUUCAGGGCCAGUUGAGAGGUUUCUGAUUGAUCCAGUUACUAAGAAACCGUUUAUCCAUUCUGCAAUAUCUCUUACUGGUUUUGCUCUUGUUGGGGGGCCAGCUAGACAGGAUCAUCCACGGGCUGUUGAGGCUCUGAUGAAGCUUGACGUUCCAUACAUUGUCGCAUUGCCUUUGGUAUUCCAGACAACUGAGGAGUGGUUAAAUAGCACUUUGGGGCUGCACCCAAUUCAGGUAGCAUUGCAAGUGGCUCUCCCAGAGCUGGAUGGAGGCAUGGAGCCCAUUGUUUUCGCAGGCCGGGAUCCUAGAACAGGUUGGUAAAGCUUUAUUCUUUUAUCAUGCCUAUAAUUUAUAACUAGUCUUCAGUUAGUACUUCGGAAUGACUACUAAGAAGAAAGCUGGAAAGAUAAAAGCUUUUUUGUAUUUUGGAAAUCAAUGGAAAAUGAUUCAAUAAUGCUAACCAAACAGAUUAUCCAAAUUCCCACCUCUCUCAAGGCCCGUAGCCCUAUUCUGCCUUCCAUUUAGCUCAACCGAAUGAUUUCAAAAACAGAUGAUCUUCAAGUGCUUGAACUGAAUUAGUGAACCAAAACUAUGUACUGACUUUAUUGCUUAGACAGUUAUACUCCUACUAGCUUCCACUUUCUUUCUCCGUUCUGGUUGUCUCGAUCUUCCUCCUUGUGUGAAGCCUAGCAGUCAAGAUUUAUUAAGGGUUGCUGAAUAUUGUAAUGUGAUUGCAGGGAAAUCACAUGCUCUUCACAAGAGGGUAGAACAGCUUUGCACCAGGGCAAUCAGAUGGGGUGAAUUGAAAAGGAAGGCAAAGGUAUUUACUUUUUGGGUCCUUUUUUAUUUCCUCCUAAACCUAAAGUUGCUUCCAAACACAUGAUAAGAAACUAAAAAGAACUUCUCUGCCUGUUAUCUGGUAAUGAUUGAUUCUGAGGGGUCGUAUCAAGAAUUUUUAUAAACAUGCAAACUUUAAUAUGCCCUGAGUUUCAUGCUUUGCUUUAGUCGUUGCUUAAGAGGUAUAUAUAUUCUUAAUAAUGAUGACCAAGACGGUUUGAAUAGGCCCAUCAGUCUCAUGCUUCAGUCAUUGCUUAGAAUCUUAGAUAGAAUAACAAAGAUCAAGGUAUCUUUUACUUUGGCUGGUAGUGCAUGCAGGAGUGCUAAUUUGGAUUGAUUCUGAUGGCAAAAAGGGUCUUCCAUUUUUCAUACUAACAGAAUGUUUGUCUUUGGCAUGAUGUCCUUGUUCUAUGGUUAUUCACUGAAUAAAUUUGGUAUAGUUUUUCUGAUCUCAUUAUGACAAGUACAUGAACUGAUGCAGGCUGAGAAGAAGCUAGCGAUUACAGUGUUCAGUUUCCCUCCAGACAAAGGAAAUGUUGGAACAGCUGCCUAUCUGAAUGUUUUUUCCUCCAUCUUCGCGGUUCUGCAAGAACUCAAAAGAGAUGGUUACAAUGUGGAGAACCUUCCAGAGACUUCAGAAGCUUUGAUCGAAGAUGUAAUUCAUGACAAAGAGGCUCAAUUCAGCAGCCCAAAUCUGAACGUUGCUUACAAAAUGGGGGUCCGUGAAUAUCAAAGUCUAACUCCAUAUGCUACUGCAUUGGAGGAAAACUGGGGAAAACCUCCUGGGAACCUGAACUCUGAUGGAGAGAAUCUCUUAGUAUAUGGGAAACAGUACGGAAAUGUCUUCAUCGGAGUUCAGCCCACAUUUGGCUACGAGGGUGAUCCAAUGAGGCUACUGUUCUCCAAAUCAGCUAGCCCACAUCACGGCUUUGCAGCAUAUUAUUCAUUUGUUGAAAAGAUUUUCCAAGCCGAUGCUGUACUACAUUUUGGUACUCACGGUUCACUGGAAUUCAUGCCUGGAAAACAGGUGGGAAUGAGUGAUGCCUGUUUCCCAGACAGUCUGAUUGGGAACAUCCCCAAUGUCUAUUACUAUGCUGCUAAUAACCCAUCUGAAGCUACCAUAGCCAAGCGUCGGAGCUAUGCCAACACCAUCAGCUAUCUGACUCCUCCUGCAGAAAAUGCUGGGCUUUACAAAGGCCUUAAGCAAUUAAGUGAGCUUAUCUCCUCCUAUCAAUCUCUUAAAGACACAGGCCGUGGGUCACAGAUUGUUAGCUCAAUAAUCAGCACAGCUAAGCAAUGUAAUCUUGAUAAGGACGUAGAACUACCCGAGGAAGGGCUGGAAAUCUCAGCAAAAGAACGAGAUCUUGUGGUUGGAAAGGUGUAUAACAAAAUCAUGGAGAUUGAGUCCCGUCUAUUGCCUUGUGGGCUUCAUGUCAUUGGUGAGCCUCCGACAGCCAUGGAAGCAGUUGCAACUCUUGUUAACAUUGCUGCACUGAACCGUCCAGAAGAAGGGAUUACUUCCCUCCCAGAUAUAUUAGCUGAGACUGCUGGAAGAGACAUAGAGGACAUUUAUAGAGGGAGUGAUAAAGGGAUAUUGAAGGAUGUAGAGCUUCUUAAGCAAAUAACUGACACAUCACGUGGAGCAAUUUCUGCAUUUGUGGAGCGUACAACCAAUGAGAAGGGUCAAGUAGUUGAUGUAAAAGAUAAACUGAGCUCAAUCCUUGGGUUUGGUAUAAAUGAACCUUGGGUUCAGUACUUGUCAAACACGAAGUUUUAUAGGGCUGACAGGGACAAACUUAGAACAUUGUUUAUGUUUUUGGGAGAAUGCUUGAAGCUGAUUGUGGCUGACAAUGAGAUAGGGAGUUUGAAACAAGCAUUGGAGGGCAAAUAUGUAGAGCCAGGUCCUGGUGGUGACCCAAUUAGAAACCCGAAAGUGUUGCCAACAGGAAAGAAUAUUCAUGCACUUGAUCCACAAUCUAUACCAACAACAGCAGCAAUGCAGAGUGCAAAAAUUGUGGUGGAGAGGUUGAUAGAGAGGCAGAAGAUUGAUAAUGGGGGGAAGUAUCCUGAGACGAUAGCACUUGUUUUGUGGGGUACAGAUAAUAUUAAGACUUAUGGUGAGUCCUUGGCUCAGGUUUUGUGGAUGGUGGGUGUAAUGCCAGUUGCUGAUGCUUUUGGACGAGUCAACCGGGUAGAAAUAGUAAGUCUUGAAGAGCUUGGAAGACCCAGGAUUGAUGUUGUUGUCAACUGCUCUGGAGUUUUCAGAGACCUCUUUAUCAAUCAGGUAUUGUUCUUUUCUAUGCUUCCCAUUUAUUUUGGAUACAUGUUAGCAACAUAAGAAUUCAACCCACAUUAUAUGGUAGGAUCACUGUCUAGUUAUUUAUGUGACUUAAGGUAUAUCGUAAUAGAGGCUUUGAAUUUCUAUGGUAAUAAGAGGUUGGCAGUCCUCAUGGUUUUGGUUCAUUUCAAAUACAUAAUGCUUUGACUAUGCUUGACGAACUGUGACAUAAGAUCUCUAUUUGAUGAAAAAUAAAUAUUCCGCAAAUGCAUAUUGCUGUUUCAUGGAGUAGCAUCAAUAAUGCGGCACUGACAAUUGUAUUAACUAGUUACUAACAAUUUCUUCAUGGUAAUUUUAUUGUCUGCAGAUGAAUCUGCUUGACCGGGCAGUGAAGAUGGUAGCUGAACUAGAUGAGCCAGUUGAGCAAAACUUUGUCAGGAAGCAUGCACUGGAACAAGCAGAAACCCUUGGGAUUGGGGUUCGUGAAGCUGCAACUCGGAUCUUCUCCAAUGCUUCAGGAUCCUAUUCCUCCAACAUUAACCUUGCUGUGGAGAACUCCUCGUGGAAUGAUGAGAAGCAGCUGCAAGACAUGUAUCUAAGCCGAAAAUCUUUUGCUUUUGAUUCUGAUGCCCCUGGUACAGGCAUGGCUGAGAAUAGAAAAGUUUUUGAGAUGGCUCUGAGCACAGCUGAUGCGACAUUCCAAAACCUUGACUCAUCAGAGAUCUCACUUACUGAUGUAAGCCACUACUUUGACUCGGAUCCAACCAAUCUGGUGCAAAACCUAAGGAAGGAUGGAAAGAAACCAAGUGCUUACAUUGCUGACACCACCACAGCUAAUGCCCAGGUGAGCAUUGAUACACACUGUACUAUUAUUUCAAUACUAAAUUCAGAAUGGAGUGUCAUGUUAUUGUUUAUAUUGCAGAAGCUCUGAAUAAACUAAAUAAAUAAAUUCCCAAUUAACAAGAAGCUGAUCUUGCAAUGCAGGUUCGCACACUCUCUGAGACCGUGCGUCUUGAUGCAAGGACCAAGUUGUUGAACCCUAAGUGGUAUGAAGGAAUGUUAUCCAGUGGAUACGAGGGUGUUCGUGAAAUUGAGAAAAGGCUUACUAACACAGUUGGGUGGAGUGCAACUUCCGGCCAAGUUGACAACUGGGUGUAUGAAGAGGCCAACUCAACUUUCAUUCAAGAUGAGGAGAUGUUGAAUAGGCUGAUGAAAACAAAUCCAAACUCCUUCAGGAAGCUGGUACAGACAUUCCUGGAGGCCAAUGGACGCGGUUACUGGGACACUGAUGAGCAGAAUAUUGAGAAGUUGAAGGAGUUGUACUCAGAAGUUGAAGACAAGAUCGAGGGAAUCGAUCGGUAAACUCAAACUCAAUGUUGAGAACACUGUAAAUUAAUGUUCAAAUAUCAGUAACACUAUGAUUUACUUGAGCUCCUCUCCCCCCUUCCCUUUUUCCAGCUCGGCAAAGCCUUUAGGAAAUGUCUAAUGUGAAUUCUUAACCAGUUCCCCCUAUGUAGUUCAAUUCAUUUUAAGGGAUAUGUAUCUGUACUGUUAUUUUGCAGACUUUUAAGUCCUAUAAAUAUAUAUAUAUAUAUAUAUAUAUAUGUGUAUUCAGUUCACAACUUCUUUUAUAAACAUUCUCAACAACAUCAUCAUUAUAGUUGAAAUUGAUGGGAAUUUCAAAGCAGAAAAAAGGUUAGAAUGCCAGAAAUAGUGUUAAGAGAUAAAUCUAAAAGAAAUCCUUAUGGAAUGAAAUACCUUCAGGUUCUUAAUCUGAUGACAGAGAAUGAAACUUAUGGAAUGAAAAUGCUCAUUCUUACUCAUUUCCCCAUUUGAAAUUUACAUCUCUGUUUUGUUUUUUUAUAUUAAAAAAUUAGGGUUUGUUUGGUAUUAUAUUUGAAUCCAACUUUUUAAAUUCAAAAACAGAAUUUGAGUUUAAAGUCCAAAAAAUAGGCCCAUUUUUGAAAACCCAAACCUAAAAAUAACUCAAAAACACCGAAAAGUAAUUUGAAAAUAGCUGUUUUUUUAGAAUUUUUUUCUCCUGGUCUCAGCUUCAAGCCUCCAUGGCAGAAGCUUGAAGCUCUCUUGCUCCCUCUCUCUCUUCGUCCCUCUCUCUACCUCUCUCUCAUCAGUAACUUUUAGUGCUGGGCAUCAGGGGACUGCUCUCGCGGCCUCCUCUCGUCUCUGAGACUCCGUAAAGUCUCAACGUCACACACCAUGAGCUGGGGUGCUCUCCAUCUCCGAUAUCUGCAAUCGGGUAAUUUUUAGUUCUUUUUUUGACAUUGGUACUGAAGAUUGGGGAUUAAUUUUCAUUUGAGUUAUGUUUUCGAUUUGAUUGAUUUAUAUGAAUUCUUGUGUGUAACCUAAACUAACAGAUAAAGGGUUUUGGAAUGAUACCUCUAAUUUUUUGAUACGUUGCCUUUGUGAUGAGGUAGGCACAUAGCUUUGAAACAUUCCCUUUGAAGACUGGUCUCUAGUCUUUUCCAAUGUGGCUGGUUUUACUUAAUAUCAUUUCAAGGGUGGGAAGGAGUCUUUUAAGGUUGAUUUUUUGAACUUCUUUUUUACCAACACAUGAUCCUCACUCUCUAUAACUGGCCCUUCUAAAAUGUCUCACUUGCCCAUAAAUAUUGUGGUAGAUAACAUGAUACCUCUUAUUUAUCUUUUUUAAGGUUGAUUUGAUUUCCUUUUUUGUUGCCUUCUUUAUACUUUGUCAUGAGUUUCUUGAACCUUCUUUUUGAACUAUCAGUCAAACUAAUGCCAGGUACAUUUUAACUGCUCUAAACUUUCCUGCAUUUUUUAGAUGCUCAUUCUCUAACCUGGACAGUUGGAACAAAUUGUUCAUGAGAUUGGAGCUAUUGAACUUUAAACGAAAAGGGUAUAUCUAACUUGAGUUUCAUGUCAAUGGCUGCACAUGUAGACUGAUAUAAGAAUAAAAAUCAUUGGGAUUUGAGUACAUCCCUCUUCUGAUGACUUCUAGGGCUGCUAAAAACAGCCCAGUUACUCUGUAGUCCACUUGUCCAAAACUUGAAUGGAGAGCAGUUUGCAACCAAGCUAGCCUGAGAAUAAGGUUCAAUCCCUGCAUAGCAUCCAAAAUAUUGAUCAACACCAGAUCUCAAAACUGUCAAGCUGACAAGACCUAAACUGUAACCUAUAAACAAAACACAAAAUUUGCUUCUAUGAUGUGUGCUCAGACAACAUCUAAUUCUUUGCUGUCAUAUUGUCUUCUGUGAAAUCUCACUGAAAUUUGCUUCUGUAAAUAUGCCUUAGUUGGAUAGGAAUUGCUUUCUUUUCAGUAUCAUUUUGGGAAUCUCACUGAAAUGAAUGAAAAAUGAGUUUGAAUAUGAAACUUAGGAAUUGGUUUUGUGACAAUUUUUAGGGAAGAAGUUCCAAUAUGUCUCAGAUGAUAAGUGAUAUGUGGGAGUUAAAAUAAAUCUAAUGUUAAUGUCUUUUUUCUUAAUUUAUUUUGCAGGUCCUUGAUGAGAACAAAUAGUUGAUUCUGGCAAUAUUGGAUAAUCAAAAACUUGGAAAACUUGCUGAGUGUGCCUAGUAAGUCCUCUCUCUCUCUCUUUUAUGUGUUUGUAUUGUUUCUAAUUUUGAUUAUGAGUCAUCUUAUGUGGGCACUGAAAUCUGCCUUUAUGAGUAUUUUUGUCUUGGAUAUAAGAGGCAAUGAUUUUGUAAAUUUGUAAAUCUGUCUACUUUGGUGUUCUUAGACCUUAAUAAGUAUUCAAUGCUCCUAACUCUUCAUACUUGUUGUGUUUGUUACAACCUUUCAUUGGUGAUGAAUUUACUUUUCCAUUUUUGGUAUAAUAUUUUGUAUAAGUUUCAUCUUGAUGUUCUUUUAAUUUUAUGACUAUCAGUGUAAUGGUUCAUUUCUAUGUUUUCUGUUUUGGACUUUGGAAAACAAUACUCUUGAUUUUGACUCCUAAAAGCGUUGUGAACUUAAAACUUGGACUAUGGUGGCUUUUGCUGUCUUAUGCUUGCCAUGUGUUUAUUGUGAUGUCUGUCUUUUUACAUUGUUUUAGUACAUAGUAGAGAGAUGUCAAACAAGGACCUUGAAAAUGAGUUUGAUGAUAAAGCCUAUUGGCCAAAGCCCAUUGAAGACCAUUUUAUUCAUCUACUGUAUGAAGAGGCAAAAAAAGGCUUGCAAACCAAUAAUUUAGAUAAGACUGAGUGGGCUGGUAUAGAAAAGCAGUUGUUUGACAAGUUUGGGAAGAGAUACAGUCGUGACAAAUUGAGGCAGAAAUAUAACCGAUUGCGCAAGAUUCACCGUGAGUUUACGAAGCUCAUUUCUCAUACCGGGAUGGGUUGGGACCCAAACAUGAACACCGUUCAAGCAUCUGAAGAAGUUUGGGCAUCCUAUCUCAAGGUAUGCAUCUUGUUGUAUAAUUUGUCUUGUUUUGGUAUGCUACAAUAUAUGUGCACUUUUUAAUAUAUCUUGUAUUAAUUUUACAGAAAAACAAGUUUGCAAGCCGUUUUCGUAGCAAAGGAUGUCCUCACUAUGAUUUGCUUGGUUUGAUUUUCAACUACACCACUGCCUCUGGACAAAUGCAAUGCGCAUCUACUCAUUCUCCUCCAGAUUCUGAUGCUGAAAGAGAGCUAGAAAAUGAUUUUCUUACCAAUGGUGCACAUGUAGGUCUUAAUCCAGAAAGUGGUUCAAGAGGUUUUAGUGAGGGAGAUGAAGGAACUAGCAACAAGAACAAGCGUGCUGCUCUGUUUCCCCAGAGUGAUCUUCCAUCAAGGUUAAAGUCAUCUAAAUCAACCAAAAUUGAUGAAACCAUUGAAGCUUGGGCAAAGUCUCUUAAUAGCAAGAUUGAAGUUUCAUUGGCAAAGCUUACGCGUAAGAGUGAAAAGGAAGUGGCCUUUCCAUAUAAAGAAUUGGGCUCCAUUGAGGAUUGUAUGGAAAUAUUGGAGGCCAUGGAGGGAGUGAAUGAUGAUGCUUAUGUGAAAGCUUUAGAUAAGUUUACUAGUUCGGAUUGGAGGAGGAUGUUCGUAAAGAUGUCGGAUUCAAGGAGAAGAGUGUGGCUCAAAAGCCUAAAGUGAAUGAGAUUGUGAAUAAUUAGUUUUAUAAUUUAUUUAGUUUAGAAUUAAAUUAAUAUGUAUUAUUUAGGACUUGAAGAUCAAUUGAGCUUGGCGAUGAUUUAUUUUUGGUAUUAAAGCAUGGGUGUUAAAAUAGUAUGUUUAAUAUAAGUUUAAUAAUUUUUAUUAAUAUCUUAAUUUUAAAAAACAUUAUUGUAACCAAACAAGUUUUCAAAAUUUUAAUAUUUUGAAACAAUUUUCAAGUUGUAUACUAAAAAUGUUUUUGAAUCUUAAAAAAUGAAUUUGAGAAUUCUUUGUUUUUAAGAAAGUCAAAAAUUUUGAGUUCCCUACUUGAGUAGGAUACCAAACGCCCCUUAGCUAUCAAUUACCUCUUGUUUCAGCAACUUCAAUAUUUUUAAGUUAGUAUUUCGUUUGAUAAAGAGACAUUCUAACAAUAAUCCAAAUGUGUGAAUUGCAAGAAUUUGAAUCAAUCUGCAAGUCCAACUCGGAUUAUUGAAUACACAAUUCUGCCUUUCAUAUAUUCAUGAUCAAAAAGAGAGAUGAAUACAUCUUUUGGGAGGGCAUCUUCAAUCAGUAAUGAAUGGUAAAAUAUAAACCUACUGAAAAAGAAACCAAAAAAUAAAAAUAAAAAUGGAAAAAAGAUGCCCUCCCUCAAAAAAGAAAAAAAGAAGAAGAAAAAGAGAGUUCUGUAUGACAGUUAACAAAGUGGUACAACGUUUCCUUCUUACUCCCCUUUCUUGGUAUUUUCAGUAUCAAAAGAUAGAAAUCUACCUUCAAACUAACUCCAUUAAGAGAGGGUCACCUUCUGCCAUUGUUCUUAUUAGUUUUAUGAAAUCUUGUUCGCUUGACACAUUCCACGGAUGAACGGCAGGUACUUUAGCCGAAUAAAGGGAUGAAGAAUUAGUAGAAGGUGGUUGUUCUUCGUAGAUCAUUGUACUAAACACUGAGUCAAAAUUCUGAGGUGAAUCUAUUGCUAGAAAGAACAUUGGAAUGGCAACCUUGUGAUGAAUUUCUAGAUUUCCGACUAGAUUAAAAAGGUCGGCGAAGUCAGCUACAAACCGACGAGGGAUGUAGAAUACCUCAGAACUACAUACCGUGAUGCUCUUGCCACUAGUUACAGAGUUCUUGUAACUGACUUGGAAGUGAACUGGCAUCAUGCUAACAACCUUCUUUACCAUGCCUGCUUGCUUUGAAAACCAAUCCGAGUUGUCUUUUGUGGAAACAGUAGUCCAAGACUUGGAUACCUGAAUCAGAUUGAAAUUGUAAGAGAGAAAGAGACAUUACAAUAAUUUAAAUGUCAACCAAUCAGCUCUUGAAAAAGAAGGCACUAUAUUAUCAAUUUUGUAUUUUGCUUUCCUUCUAGGUAAAGUGAUUCAGAAGGUAUCUACUGUGUAUUAGCAACAAUGAUAACUAGUUUUAAAAUGCCAUAGAAACAUUAAUCUUAAAGAAAUGGGGUGUUAGAAGUCAUACCUCAUUUGUAAUCCACAAUUUAGUUUUGUCUGCUUGUAGAAGAUUCCAGUAAUUAAGAAUAGUAUUGUCCUGAAGGAAUAAAAAUCCAUCUGCACCGGAAUAUCGAUCAAAUAUUUUGGGCAGGUACCUGCAAAGAAACAUUGAAAAGCGCAAUUAGAAAACUACUGAUGGCCCAUCUUAACUAAUUCCAAAAUAGGCUUUCAACCAAAAUGCAAGUAAAGCAGUUAGGAUUUCACAUACAACCAUUGUCUGCCAUAAUUAUGAGCGACAACAAUGAAUGCCCAAGAAAAACUAAAAUUGACAACGCAACUGCCGAAACUUGCUUUUGAAAGAAGCAAUCAAUAGUAUUCAUAUUCCUAGGGCUAUGCAUAGAUUCUGCAGUCUAAAACAGACUUGGGGAUUACAGGGCCUGCUUCUGAAGCUGUUCAGCUCACUGAUCUCAUUUAACAUAAAUUUCAUAAACCUAACUAGCACAUAAUACAUACCACAAGGCACCAACUCACGAAACUGAGAAAAGAAGGAAAACAACAAUGCUCUUCUAAAAGUAAAAUCUUUUCUGACAGUCGCAGGGUAUUUUGUAAUAACCAAUAUUAAACUUUAAAUGCUGUGAGGAACACAAUCAAACACAAUCAAGAAGAUGCAUGAUUAAAUUCUUAAUUUCUGGAAACAAGCUAGCAAUUAUUCUGAGGGAUCACUAAUUGCACAUAUUUGCCCAGGAAAUAAAUAAUUGAGGCCUGAGCCUUCAAGAAAGGAACAGAGCUUGGAAUGACAUCUGCUCCUUGGUGACAAAAACCUCUCCUGCUAGGUCUUGAAUAUGAGAACAGUAGCCCCAAACUUGUAUCUAACCUAACUCCUCGAUUAAUGUUUUUAAAUAAAGAAACAAGGUUUCAAUUGAAUAUUAUACCACAGCAUUCCCUAUCUUCUUAACCCUUACGGCUACUCAGAAGGAUAGAACUAAACAAUUUAACAAGAUGGCAGAGCCAACAAAGUAAUUGAAUAAAAGAGGUACAGAUUCAUGAGAAAAGAGACUUACUUGUAUACAUAGUCCAAUUUGCCUUCUUCAACAGCAAGGUCAGGGUUCUUUAGCUCUGACAAAAUGAUCACAGUCUUAAAUAUCCUCCCAUAGAGCAAUCUCCAUUCCAGAGCAGUACGUUCCACCGGUCCACUGCAAAACAUGAUAAGCACAACAUUCCCAAAAUUCUUCCUCCACCUAAUCAAAUUUCCAAUUUCAUAGUUCACUGUCCCUGUUUCCUCAACUCCAAGAUGAACAGAUGGAAACUUUUGCGGGAUAAACUCUUUUGUAUCCCCAUGACCAAUAUUUGCUCGUGGCCGAUCCAAUUCCAAUGACAUUAAUCUAGGCUGCUGGUACCCAACCGCAAUCAAGUCCUGAAGCCAAGCAGCAGUAAACUUCAGAUCCUUCUCAGUCCAAAACCCCUCUUCUGUCAUAGCGAAACUUAACUCCAAAAUCUUUUCAAACAGCCUAUGCUUACUUGAUCUCCAUGAAACCAAAAAUUUGAUCAAACGUCCCACAUUGACAUGAAGAUCUUUCUCUUCAGAAAAUGGGUACGUCUGAAUUCUAUCAUACCGAUGGACAGUUGGGGGAUAAACUACAACAAAUCCACCUAUUUCCCACAAAAGCCUUUGCCCCCAAUAUCCCCUCAAUACGUCAGAAGCCAUUGUGCUAACUGAAACAGGAAGCAUCAAACCCCAAAACGCCGACACAUGGUAAAUUGUAUUGAAAGAAUUAACAGGAACCAUCGUACCCUGCGGCAACGCCACUUUCGGGGCAUGGUCAUCAAACCUUAUAUCAAAGGCUUCCAAACCCGAUUUUCGUGUAAAAUAAAACACAGAAUCGACAUCAGGAAGUCCAUUUGAUAUGCCCUGUUGUAUAAACUGCUUUCCACCAAAAAUCUCAGUGUAGAACUCUUCAUGGCCAAGUUCACCAACAUUUUCCAAUGGCAAACCUCUCGGCCAAACUGACCGUUGCCCAAAAUGAAUAUAUGGGUUCACAAUGGUUCUAUUAGGAUUCUCAUGGCUAUAUUGCAAUAUAAUCUCUUGCCUAGCACCCUCUCCCGUCAAUUCUAAAUCAAAAUGUUUUCCCAAGUCAUUAUCAAUCACCUCUCCGCGAUCAUCAGCGUCGAAGAUCUUCUUCGCGCCAUGUUGGAUCGCAAACAAGUAACCCACACUCUUCCUAACAUACGAAUCAUAAGGCAAAUAAUCCAAAACUCUAAAACCCAAUUGAGCUUGUUGUUCAAGGGACAGAAAGAUAGCACCUUUGAGGCUCCAAUCCGACGGCGUUUUCGAGUUCCCAAUUGCCAAGACCUGCCACCCUUUGAGCUUCACAAGCUUUCUGAGCGAGUCAGUUGGGUAAUUAGAGACUGAAACGACAAUCCACUUCUCAGAUCGGAAACUCGCGUAGGGAGACGACGUGUCGGAGAUGGGCUUGAUGUUCGAUUCGAGCUGCGGCAAUCGAAUCUUCUCGAGGGCCUGGGCUUGGGUUUCGAAGCAGAGCAAAGCAGCGGUGUCUCCGAUGUUUCGAAGCACGAAGAGGACGGCGACUGUGGCUAUGAGAAGCACGACGGUGACGAUCUUGUAUAGAUUCUCGGAGACCCAUGUGGAGAAAUCGAGAUUUGGAGCGAAAGAGAGUGAGGCUCUGAUCUGAGAAGAGUGAGAGUGCUUCGGUGAUUUGGGUCCUGGACGGUCUUGGACCAACAUUGAAGAAAAUUUCAAAACCCAAAUUCCCAAAAUCCCAAAUUUUUCUGUCUCAGUCUGAAAUGCCUUGACUCAGAGUCAGAGCUGAUUGUGAGUGAUCAGAGGAGCUUCACUGUUGAGCUCUUUCAACAAACGUUCAUUCGCAGUACUUUUGCACCGUACAACAAGAAGAAGAAGAAGAAGUUUUGUUAUGUGAGCUGCCACUGCGUGUGAUUUGAGCAAGUUGUGAGCUGCUUUGCUUUCUCUGUCAAGUGGUUGCGCUGCCGACAGUUAUGGUAAAGAGAGAGUUUUGAACUUGUGAUGGUUGGUGUUUCUUUCGUAGAUUUCAAGUCUUGAAUUAUAUAACUACUGCUGCUCUCUUGUUGCAGUUUGGUGGGGUCUCUGUCUUCUUCUUUUUCAUUCUUCUUUUUUUUAUUUCUUUAUAUGAAAUCGAUUAUGUUCUGUAUUCUGUACUUGUUAGUUGGUUCUUCUCGAUUUGCCAGUCUGCAAUUUUUGGUAGAAUUGGACUGAUUGAGUCUUUAUUACUCUGCCUAUUUCAUUAUUAUAUGAUAAUGACGAUUUUGUGCCACUUGUAAGUAUUAUUUGAAGGCAAUAAUGGUUAGCUCAAAAUUUCCAUCUAUAUAGGACAACCUUGUCUCUUCAGAAUACGAAAAUGAACUUAAUUUUGAAAUCAUGCUUUCGAAUAGCUAGUGGGAACAUUGUACACGGUCCAUUAAUACGAAACAAAUUCGUAAAAGAAAAUCAGUAUUUAGGUCGGUUUUAUUCGCUUGUAUUGAAAAUAGGUGGACUCGUUAGCUACUUGUUAAGUUAAUCGGUUAUUUUGGUGUUCGUUUAAAAAUAAUCAUAAUCACCUAUUAAGAUAUAAUCAUAAUUACGUAUUAAGACAUUUUAUCAACAAUUUCAUCUUAUAUUUGGAACUUCGGUGAAUGAUUAUUUUUUAUCUCUCUGGAUGUAUUGUUUAAAGAUAUUUUAUUUAAAUAUUUAAACUUCAUUUUUAUUAUUGUCUAAUAUGAGGUAUUAUGAGGUGUUUUUAUUUAACAAUUUGUUAUAAAAAAUAUAAUUUAUGUUUUAAACAGAUUAAAGGAUCAUUUAAGUUAAAACGGGUCAUGUUGUGUCAUUCGUUAUUUUAAAGGGUCGUGUUCGUGUGUGAUAAUUUCUACCAUUAACUUAACGGGUCGUGUAUGGGUCAAUAUGUUAAGAAGGCGGUUGGACACAAACACCACAAAAACACAACUUGUUUGCCAGGUAUACUUUCGAAUCUCACAUCUUUUGUUAAUAAAAUAACAUUUACUUCACAUGAAUAGCUCUAGGCCUAGAACAACCCAAGAGAUCAUCUAAGAUCAGAGAGCAAAAUCAAACCAAUUACACCAUAGAUCUAAAGUAAAGCUAAUAUUCGCCUAGACUUCAAACACAAUGCAAAAGAAUGAACAUAGUUGUUUUUUCCUCAAAUAUUCAUAGACAACAAUUUGAUGCUCCAUUGAUCAAGAAAAACACAACGCCUAUUAGUUAGGGUUUGGAUAAUGCGAGAAGGCGGUGAGUGUUGGUGUGGUGAUUUAGAGGUUUGGGAGAAGGCUUGAUGUUCGGACAGAAUGUAUCGGAAUCAAGUGAUUCCAACAGGAAAUUAUUGGUCAUUAAAGAAUAGCCUUUUUUUUUUUUUUGGGGUCAAAACAAGAAUAAUUUUAAAGAACAAAUUGUCUAUGUGUAUUUGGUCAUUAAAUCAUGUUUAGUUCAACAUGAAAUUAGUCAUUGUGUGUGGUCUUACCUCGAAACCUCAAUAUAUUUCGAAAUGCAGAAUUUUCAGAAUCUUAAGAUAUAUUCUAAUUCCAAUCCAACUCUUUUUUGGAAUUUAUAAUUUUCGGAACUUUUGGAAGUAAGAAUUAAUAUGAACUUGCCAAAUUCAAAAAAUUUCGAAUCUAAAUUUUCAAUCUAACUUUCACCUGUAUUUGGGAGUGAGAGAAGAUGAUGAGUCUAAGGUAGAAAUGUAAAGAGAAAAUUUUCAAUGUCUACAGUACCACCCCUUUUUUUGGCCCCAAAAUCCACUUCUGAUCCGCUUUUGAACAUCUCAAACCUCCUAUUGGUGUGCAACAAACUUAUAGCUAAAGAUGUCAACAGAAUUCAAUUCACCUCUUUCCGAAUGUAUCACCUCCCAAGUUUCGCUUCUAUAACCGUUUAUGAGGGUCUCGUCCAUGGCAGCGAAAAAGUCCAGAGCCCAGUUUACAUUCAUAUAAGCCCAAUGAAUAGAUAGCCCAAUAAACAGUGGAAUUAGCCAGCUGGCCCACUACCCAACGCAGCACCCGCCACUCCACGUGACCACAGCGGAAAUGGAAACGGUUUAGAGAGAGAGAUUUUCAAAUAAUAGGCAAGGAACCGCCAGUUUUCGAAAACUGAGAGAGAGAGAGAGAGAGUAAUGGCUCCGUUUCCAUCUCCACUCGAACGCGUAGUUGCUUCGGCUUUGCUAGUCCUGGCCACCACACCUCCGAAGUAAACCAAAACUUCAAUUUCAAUUUGCAUUUGCGUUUCGAUCGCUUCAAUCGUUCUUCAAUCUUCUGACGCAUUUUUGCUUGCAGGCUCUGUUUGGACGACGAUAUCGAGUUGGUGAGGGAGCGAAGCAAGAUAGAGAAUUGCAGAGAGAGCUCGGUUUCUGGGGAUUCCAAUAAGUCCUUCUCGUCGUUGAUCACCACAUGCGAGGUUUCCACGGAGGAGAUUCGAGCUCGUAAGAUCAGAAUCGUAGCGCUUGCUGCUCUUCGUCAUGAGAUGAAGCUCAAGGUGAUCGAGCUUCUCUCUCUCUCUCUCUCUCUCUCUCUCUCUCUGUAUUUCUCAUCUAUUUUUAAAUUUUGCUUGCUGUUUGGUUGAUUUUCACAACUCUGAAUUCGAACUGUGAAUUUUGAGUUCACUUCGUCCCUUAAUCGUUUUCCAAACGGAAGAUCGAGCGAUGAUUUUUCUUGCUUUAAUCUGUUCGCUUAUUAGUGAAAUAUUUGCUUUUCUUCAGUUUUUCUCUUCGUCAUGUGAUGAAGAUGAAGCUCAAUCGGAGCUUCUCCCUCUGUUUUUCUUCCUUUUUCUCUUUGUAUUUUAAGCUCUGUUUGGCUGAAAUUUCUGCAUAAUCCGAUUGAAUCUUUUACAAGCUCAGAAGCAAUUUGCUUGAUUAAUCUGAUCUGGUUCUUAACUUUUCUGUUUGGCUGAAUUUUUAUCUUAUAUAUCUGAAUCCGAACUGUGUUUUUAAUUUCCUUUUGUUACUUUAAUCGUUUCCCGAAACGAAGUUCAAGCUGAUAUCUAAUUAAGCUGAAUCUGAGCUUCUCUCUCUCUCUGUUUCUCUUCCAUUUUUGGCAUUCUCAUUUUGCCGUUUGGCUGAGUUUGUACGAUUUUCAUGGAAGCUUCGGUUCAUUUUUGUUGCUUUAAUGUGCUUUUCAAUAUAAAUCUAAACUAAAGCUUAUAAGAUCCUUCUUUCUAAGAUUUUUGAUUUCCAAAUCAGUGGUUGAGCGAUUCGAUUUCAUCGAUCCGAUUCAAUUAUGAGCAUUUUCUUCUUCUUCAAGUAAUAAUUUGAAUUUUCUCUGAAUUAGGGUGUGCGGAGAAGUCGCUCCAAGACGCAAACAAGCUGGAAGACCGUCUCUGGAUCGUCGGAGACGGCGUCCUUUCGAUCUGAGACUACCACGGAGUCUUCGUGCGUGUCCACCAGCUCCUGUGCGGCUUCAAGCGCGCGAAGCCAAAGCAGAAGCCGACACCCGUCAUGGUCAGCCUGGAAUUAUCGUGGUGCCAGUAAGCUUUCGAUGGUAAGGGAGGAGCCGAGGAAGAGGAAGCGGCUGAGCUUCUCGGCUCACAUGCGCCGCAAAGCCGAGGAAAUUCUGAAGCUCUUGUCCGGUGGCUGCUGCUUCUCUGAAGUUAAGAUUCGUCAGACCAUCGGUGACAGUCCUGACACUAGCAAAGCACUCAGAAUGUUAGUUCUCUCUCUCUCUCUCUCUCUAUUUGACACGUGGUGCACGUGGAUGUGAUCGAGCGGACGAGAAAUUAGUGUGAUGAGUCUUAACCGUCAGAUCUGAACUGUGGAAGAUCAGGAUGAGGAUCUAACGGUUGAAAUGCAUCCAACCAUAAUGUUCUGUUAUGUUUUAGUUAAUUUUAGAACAAAACCCUUUGCCUUACGUGGCAAGAAUGUUCUGACGUGGCGAGAUGUAAAUGGGUAUUGUGUGUUUCUGUGCAUGCAGGUUGUUGAAGCUUGAGAAGGUCAAAAGGUCAGGCAUUGGAGGCCGUUACAACCCUUAUAUUUACACGGUAUAUAAUAUGAAUAUAUAUAUAUAUUAAAGUUCCUUAUAAAUAUAUAUUUAAAAUGAAAAAACAACUAUCUAUGCUUGUGUGAUCAUAUUCUUAGAUUAAUACUUGUUUUUCUUUAAACUCUUUAUUAAUCUUUUGCUUCUUCUUGACUCGCAGAUAGCGUGAGAAGAGGCAAGCUAAAGGGAACCCGAUUAAGCAUGGCAUGGGUCAUCUUUACGACCCGUUUUAGCUAUCUUGGAUCCACUCCCUUGGUUGGGUUGGGGAAAUUUUGUUAUGAUGAUGGGUAGCUAAAAAUUGGGAUAUAUAUACCAAAAUAUAUAUAUAUAAAUAUAUAUAUAUGGUCUAUAUAAUAUAGAAUUAAUAUGGAAUGAUAUGAUAUUGUAAGUGUGAAUUGUAUGGCAUGCAGUUAAUAAUUACACGUAUUCUUCAGUACUUUUUAGCAGCAUACAGCACUUAACCCGAAUACUAGAGGGAAAGGCGGCUUCUUUUACCUAAAAUUACCGCAGAGUUUUACUUUUACUAAAGGUUAAUUAGUUAGUUAUAGCAAUUACCAAUGGAAUGUUCUUCUAGGAAAGUAUAAAACCCUUGCAAUUUGGCAUUUGUCCAUUGUGAUUUGUGAAUGGCCAACCUCAACUUUGGCUUUUAACAAAACCUAAUACGUAAGCAAAGAAUCAAAGGGCGAUUUAAGUAAUAGCCUUUUUUCUUAUAUAUACAAUAAGUUUUUAACCAACGCAUUUUCUUCAAAGAACCCAUCUCCAUAAUAAUAAUAUUCUUAUGAAAAUGCUAUUCUUUUGGGUCCAUUUGGAUGAAGGUACACAUUUCAUGUAUAAGGAUUUAGAUCACAUUAUAAAAUUCAUUUCUUUUAAAUAUUUCCAUGCAAACGGAACCUUGAUUUAUUUUACUUCACAAACUGCAGUUAAUUAUGAACAUAUAUAAAUAUGAUAUAAAUAAUAUCAUUUUUUUUUCUUUCUUUAUAAACAUAAAUCCUCUACAACUAGGAACAGGGAUGGACCGUACAUAUGGCUAACCUGGACUAUAGCCCAAGAUACUUUUUCUUUUUCAUCCUAAUAUAAAAUUCCCAACCCACCACAUGCUUGGUGAAAUGCUCCACUCCAGUGAAGGUUUGUAGAGGUGUAAGCCUUGGAUGCAUUUUGUAGGAAAAAGAUGAGAACACACGCCACCUAUUUGACUUAUAAUUUAAAAGUUUUGUUUGUUUGUUUGUUUGUUUGUUUUCAAUGAAACAGUAAGUUUGGUAAGAGAGAUAUUUAAUACACACGGUAUCAUUUUGAUUAAAUUUAUGAAAUCCAAUGGCAUCUUUUGUUGUCCAGUUGCUACGCUCUUGUGCGACAAGUGGAUAAUUGUGUGAUUAACCACAUCUACAUGGAGAAAAACAGGGUGGUUGACUAUUUAGUGAAGGGGAGCUAUAAUUUUGAUUUGGAGUUUGUUGUGCUUGAUGAGAUUCCUAGCUGGGUUGAGACUACUUUUGAUGAUAAUUUGUUAAGAGUUCCUAGAACUUGUACUGUCUCUGUCAUUUAGUUUUUUUUUAUAUUUAGGGAUUAAUCCCCCACAUUUUACGCAAAAAAAAAUUUAUGAAACCCAACCUAGCCAACCCUUUCGUUCUUAUUAAUUAAUUUCCUUCUCACUACAAACCCAAUUUCCAUAAAGCAAUAGCUACACACCUUUACCAAGCUUCUAGCUUGUAAUAAGCUCCGUAUUCUACUGUAUUUUUAGUUAUAGUUAAAUUACUUUAUUUUUAGUUCUAGCUUGUAAUACUUUAUUUAGCUUUAUGUUUUCGAACAAAUAUUCAUGAAUCGGCUAUUACACGCAUUUAUAUUCUUAAUAGAUUUAUAUAUAAGGUGAAUUUAGACCGUCCGUUUAAAAUCGUGUGUACAUCUCUGACUGGGAAUAAAUAAGUUCCAGGACCUUUCGCUUGGCUUAAGCGACAAUUGACUUUGGAAUAAAGUGGCUUUCGAGUCUUCUUGUUAAAUUUUUUUUUUUUUAAAAAAAAAAAAAAAAAAAAAACCGCAACGACUAGAAUGCGAAUAUUCAACGCGUAGCUGCAAAGACUGACGCAGUACUCCUUGGACUACAUUGCCAAUUUGCCACCACCCAGAAAAAAAAGACAUACAAUCGGAAUUAGUCAAAUCAUGGCCUACAAAAGAAUGCUUGCAGUGAAGGGCUUGUAUUCAGGUAUAUUUUCAUUUCAGUCAUUCAAUUCCCUUUCUAUUUGAAUUUGGCCUAAAAUACUGAACCAUACUCUUCUUAUUUCUUGUCAUCGCAUACAAAUUAAUUACAAUAAAAAAAAAGGACCUCAAUUAUUUAAUGUCUAAAAACUUACAUGUGGAGCUUGUGAGUCUGAGCCCAUAUUAAUAAUAAAUAAAAAAAGAGAGCUUUCUAACCGGUGAAUGUUGAUGACAACUUUUUUUUAAAUAUUAUUAAACCAAGGCUCAUGGUGAAGGGUACAUCUAAAUAGUUCAUUACAAGAAAUGCUUCCAUGCAAAAAAUAAAAAAAUAAAAAAAAAUUUGUUUAUUUUUAAAUUUUGUUAAAAUCGUAGAAUUUGAUUUCCUGCCCCACAAUUGUUGGUUGUUGAAUGAGUUUGUUUUAAUUUUUUUAAAUAUAGCACUCAUUUGACCACUUGUCUUAAGGAAUGAGUAAAAUGUGCAAUAAAAAAAGAACGAGUAAAAUGAUCCUUGAAGCUUUGGGUAUGAAAAGAGAAACAAUGAAAAACAAAAGGGUGCCACAAUAAUUGCAUAGAAAAUAUAGGCCCUUAAAUGUAAAAAACCAUAAUAAAUAGAGGAACCAACCAAGACCAUAGGCAAGGCUAUAAAAGGGACCAAGUGUCCCUUCCUUCCUCACAAGAAGCAAAAUUCUAUUUCUCAGCUUUGUAUUGGGCUCUCUGGUCUCUCUCCUUCCCUCCCUUUCUCUCUCUCUUGGGAAGAACAGAAAGCAACAGAGAGCAACAUAAAGAUUGAGAGAGAAAUACAAAAAAAUAUAUAAAGAUGGGAAAGUGGGUGGAAUUAUUAGAUACAGGGGUGAGAAUAGCAGCAAGAUUUCAUUCUCACUGCCCACAAACUGGACGCUUGUAUUACCAUCCUCCAUCUGGUUCUGAAGAUCAACAUCAUCAUCACUACUUUGACCAAGCCCAGAAGCCCACCAAUGGCAGCCAUGCUCAAUUUGAUGGCAUCUUCACCAGUUGCGGUGUCAAGGCAGCAGCUAUGGAGGCCAACACCAAUGAGGCUUUUUUGUAUUCUGUUUUGUGAGAAAGGAAGGAAAUUACCUUAAUUUGUGUCCACAUAUAAUGGAGAAAUUCUGAAUAUUUUUUUUAGGUGUGGAUAUCAUUCCACAAAUUUAUAAUCUUCUCAUAGAAUUUAGACUUGAAUUGAAUCCAUCUUGAAUUUGUGUUGAAAAGAAUUCUUUUAAUGUUAAUUGGCUUCUCAUCAUCACUUGAUUCUCGGUUAUUUAUGAAAGGAUUUUUUUUUUCUAUGACUUAGGUUUUAUUUCUUUAAAAGGAGGGGAUGAUAUGAGUUGAAUUCUUGCUUGGAGAAUAAAAUGCUCUACCACUAGAGCUUAAAAUAUAAUCUAUGCCGUAACGUUAUUUUGACGAAAUAAAUACGCUGGGAUUUCUAACAUUUGCAACGAUAAAUAUCACUAAAUCAAGAACUAGUUAAUAUAAGUACCUCUCAAUGUUUACGUUUGCACCUUGUAUUUGUUUCUAUUUCUAACAAAUAGAAAACUAGUUUCUGUAUUAAGAAAAAGAAAAGUAAACUUACAUAUAAUCACAAAAUUUAGAAGGAAAAGAAAAUUCAUUUACAACUUAAUUGUUCUACCCAAAUAUCAAGGGCAAGAACAUCACUAAUCUUAAUAUAUGAUCAGUUUGUGUUGCCAAAAAUUUUGAACAAAAAUCCCAUGCCA
rnacentral:lncRNA from 1 species